rnacentral:lncRNA from 1 species
AAUAUGCACCUUUCAUCGUAGUAAUAUCGCAAGUAAUUGAGUUAUAGGUUAGUGUAUUGCUAAAUCGGGACUUAAUUGUUGCUGGAAGUGUUUAAUUAUGAGUGCAUCGUGUUUUGAUACAAAGUCUUUUUACAUUUCUUAUGAUUUUUUGAGCUAUUAUUUUGUAUUAUUCAGCUUUGAUUGUAGUAAUUGAGUUCUAGGUGUAUUGGGUUCUUGCUGAAUUCUUGCUUCAAGUGUUGCAUACGAUCUUAGUGAAGUCCAAUAGAGAAGCGGAGUCUCUCCGCUCAAAUGAGAUAGAUUGAGUUAGUUACUUAGUUGUUUUGUUCUUUUUUAGAUUCCAUGUUAGUAUUAUGUAUGUAGCAAUGAUUAAUAUUUAUUAAAUGCAGCUCUAUCAUGAUCCAGAAGAUUCCAGUCUCAUAUUUUACGAGUUCCUCAUGAAAGUGAUAUCAUACAUAGCUUGAAAGUUUGAUGUAUUUAUUUUAAAAUUGCUUUAUCAUAUUAUUAUUAAUUUUAGGAUUCAUGUGCAGGUGGAAAUCUUGCAGUAAACAAUGAAGAAAAUGCUCCACAAAUAUCUAAAAUCGAAGAAGCCAAUGACUCAUUGGCGGCCUCAGGUAAAAAUGUAUUCACAUUACAUAGCAUGUUUAAUUCGUAUGGAAUAAUAAUGGUUCAAAUGUUAUGAGUGAUAUUUUGAAGGCCAAGAUUCCCUCUGUUCUACACUCAAUGUAGUAGCUGAGCAAGCUGCUCUAACAAUGUAGUUCUAUUCAUUUUCUUAAAUAUUUACAAAUAUACAGGCACAGAAGAAGAAACAAUACAUUGCAAACAUUUAUGAAUCUAUUCAACAUGGAAAGGAUGCGGAGAAAAGGUAUCGUUGCGUUCAACCUUAGUUUGAUGAUGCUCUUAUGGCCUCUUUUACAGAUAAGACAAUUAGGUUUGUCUGCAGGAAUCUGGAGCAGGCCGCUAUGAGUAAAUUGAUCGAAAUGGCCUACAAAAGACAAAGGGUAAUAGUAUCUUUUUUAUCUGUUUAUUUAUUUUCUUUUCACUUAUUGCUAUUAGUAACCAAGUUAUAUUGAAUUUUAGGAAUCCUGGCACUAUAUACCAAGAAGCAAAUCAUGCAUCUUUCUAUUUAAACUGUACAUUCUAUGGUUAAUAGAAAUUUAAGUAAUUGCUAUAGAUGCAUACACUACACUUGCACUAAUAAUAUAUGAAAAAGAUGUGCAAGCAUUAGAUGGUCUCUGCCCAUGUGCAGGAGGGUCAUAGUCAUGUUAUACUAUUUGACUCUUAGAAGUUGAUAGAGAAAAGCUCAGCAGGUAGAAAGUAAUGGAACAAUAUAUACACGUUAUUGUACUUACUAAAACUAUGUUCUUGAGUUAAUAAAUGUGGAUGGUGGAAGUCAUGAGAGCUACGGCCUUUGACUUUAUAUCGAAGUCAUGCUUAAUAUUUUCUUUCAAUUUCUGCCUCUUUUUUAAAAUGGCAACGACCUGCUAUAUCACAGUUGGAUGCAGUGAAACCGUAUAAGCGAGAUCUAAAAAUCGGUUUCCUGCUGCUAUUUAUCAUGAUAGAGUCAGAAGUAUGAAAUUUUUGUAGACACUAAUGAUUUUCCAUGAGCCAGUCUAUAUCCUGAGUGCUUAAAAUAUUAUACAUAUGUCCUAUCAUGUUGUGGUAGAUUGUGUUUUGACUGUCACUGAUAUUCCAUGGGUUUUCUUGUUACACUUGAUUAACAGAAUAAAUUAUACUAUUAGUAACUAUCAAAUCAAUUUUUUUACCUUGAAAAGAAAUAUGCAUCACCCCUUGAACUUUUAGAACAUUUGGACUUAUUAAACGGUUACCUAGUUUCCACUUCAUAGCAUAUAGAUAAUAUAUCGUAGUUAGUUUUGUUACGUUGUGCUGAAUUCAUAUAUGCUUUAAGGUGGAAAUUACCCCACUAAUGUCAGUUUUUGGACUGUCAUGAUCAUCGAUAGUCAUUAGGAGCUGAACAAAACACCCCAAGAACAAAAGCAACCAAAAAUGAAAUGCUCAUAUAUAAGAUUCUCAUUUUUGGUCCAAUUUUGAGGUUUAAUGCUUAUCACUUAAUGCAGCUUUCUUAUGUUGAUGUGUACCUCAAAAUGUAAUAUUUACUGUAAGAUGGUUCAGUGAUCAAUUCUUGAUUCAAUUUUGUGUGAAUGGGAGAAAUCUUUACUCUGGCCGGGAAUAAAUAUUAUUAAGUUACGCUCUAAAUUUGUAAUUACGAAGUUGUCCUGCCCUCCUCCAUCCUCACCUCUCUCUCCUCUCUAAUUUUAGGUUUCUCAUGGGAGUCAUUCCUCGAAGAGAGUCUUCCGCAGGGUCAAUAAACAAGCUGCUUUGCCUUUUGCUGAACGCACUCUUGCCAAAUGCCUAGAGUUUGAAGAUACUGGGAGGAACUGCUUUAGAAAAGCUCUUCUAGUUCAUCAGUGGCUAUUGGGAGCGAUGUUGCAAGGGGAAAUGAGGAGCCGCACAAUGUAGGAAAGAAUCCUGUGAAUCCUUCAACAAAACAACCAACUGAAUCUGUUUCAUUUGAGCGAAGAAACUCUGCUUCUCUAAUGGACUUGGACGAAGGUGGUAUGCAAGACCACGACUGGCAUGGUCUUGCCGUACCAAUGGAUAACCUCUCAGAUGUCCAUUUUGAUUUCUGGUUUUAAAACUCCAACUAGCAAAUUGUCUAGUUUAAGGUUAGACGCUUGAUAUUUGUUUACAUUUACAGCAUGACCUGCUCCAUUACAUGUUGGAAGAGCAUGAGGUCAUAUUUGUUUUCAAGUCUCGGUACUAGUAUUUCCGGAUAUGUUCAUUUUGGACGAUGUUAAUGUGUUCCAAUUUUCUAUAAUUUUGCCAGAACUAUGAUUUCUUUAAUCUUUUGGUAGGCUUAAAUGAUGCAAUGUUAUAAUUGUUGGAUGCUGUUCAUUCUCGCGCACAAGUGAUCUGUGUGUCUACGUGAUGCUGUCCAGACAUGAAUUCGAUUCUCAACGCAACUUUGCUUACUCAGGUUCUAUUUCACACUACUUUACUAUGAACAAUAUCUUUGUUUGUUUAUGAUUUUCACCAUUUGAGCUAUUAUUUUGUAAUAUAACACCUUUGAUCGUAGUAAUAUCGUGAGUAAUUGAGUUAUAGGUUAGUUUAUUGCUAAAUCGGGACUUGAUUCUUGCUGGAAGUGUUUAAUUAUGAGUGCAUCAUGUUUUGAUACAAAGUCUUUUUACAUUUCUUAUGAUGUUUUGAGCUAUUAUUUUGUAUUAUUCAGCUUUGAUUGUAGUAAUUGAGUUCUUGGUGUAUUGGGUUCUUACUAAAUUCUUGCUUCAAGUGUUGCAUACGAUCUUCAUGAAGUCCAAUAGAGAAGCGGAGUCUCUCCGCUCAAAUGAGAUGGAUUGAGUUGGUUGUUUUGUUCUUUUUUAGAUUCCAUGUUAGUAUUAUGUAUGUAGCGAUGAUUAAUAUUUAUAAAAUACAGCUCUAUCAUGAUCCAGAAGAUUCCAGUCUCAUAUUUUACGAGUUUCUCAUGAAAGUGAUAUCAUACAUAGCUUGAAAGUUUGAUGUAUUUAUUUUAAAAUUGCUUUAUCAUAUUAUUAUUAAUUUUAGGAUUCAUGUGCAGGUGGAAAUCUUGCAGUAAACAAUAAAGAAAAUGCUCCACAAAUAUCUAAAAUCGAAGAAGCCAAUGACUCAUUGGCGGCCUCAGGUAAAAAUGUAUUCACAUUACAUAGCAUGUUUAAUUCGUAUGAAAUAAUAAUGGUUCAAAUGUUAUGAGUGAUAUUUUGAAGGCUCAAGAUUCUCUCUGUUCUACAUUCAAUGUAGUAGCUGAGCAAGCUGCUCUAACAAUGUAGUUCUAUUCAUUUUCUUAAAUAUUUACAAAUAUACAGGCACAGAAGAAGAAACAAUACAUUGCAAACAUUUAUGAAUCUAUUCAACAUGGAAAGGAUGCGGAGAAAAGGUAUCGUUGCGUUCAACCUUAGUUUGAUGAUGCUCUUAUGGCCUCUUUUACAGAUAAGACAAUUAGGUUUGACUGCAGGAAUCUGGAGCAGGCCGCUAUGAGUAAAUUGAUUGAAAUGGCCUACAAAAGACAAAGGGUAAUAGUAUCUUUUUCAUCUGUUUAUUAAUUUUCUUUUCAUUAUUGCUAUCAGUGACCAAGUUAUAUUGAAUUUUAGGAAUCUUGGCACUAUAUACCAAGAAGCAAAUCAUGCAUCUUUCUAUUUAAACUGUACAUUCUAUGGUUAAUAGAAAUUUAAGUAAUUGCUAUGGAUGCAUACACUACACUUGCACUAAUAAUAUAUGAAAAAGAUGUGCAAGCAUUAGAUGGUCUCUGGCUCUCUCUGCCCAUGUGCAGGAGGGUCAUAGUCAUGUUAUACUGUUUGACUCUUAGAAGUUGAUAGAGAAAAGCUCAGAAGGUAGAAAGAAAUGGAACAAUAUAUACACCUCAUUGUACUUGCUAAAACUAUGUUCUUGAGUUGAUAAAUUUGGAUGGUGAAAGUCCUGAGAGUUACGGCCUUUGACUUUAUAUCGAAGUCGUGCUUAAUAUUUUCUUUCAAUUUCUGCCUCUUUUUUUAAAUGGCAACGACCUGCUAUAUCAUAGUUGGAUGCAGUGAAACCCUAUAAGCGAGAUCUAAAAAUCAGUUUCCUGCUGCUAUUUAUCAUGAUAGAGUCAGAAGUAUGAAAUUUUUGUAGACACUAAUGAUUUUCCAUGAGCNGUGCUUAAUAUUUUCUUUCAAUUUCUGCCUCUUUUUUUAAAUGGCAACGACCUGCUAUAUCAUAGUUGGAUGCAGUGAAACCCUAUAAGCGAGAUCUAAAAAUCAGUUUCCUGCUGCUAUUUAUCAUGAUAGAGUCAGAAGUAUGAAAUUUUUGUAGACACUAAUGAUUUUCCAUGAGCCAGUCUAUAUCCUGAGAGCUUAAAAUAUUAUGCAUAUGUCCUAACAUGUUGUGGUAGAUUGUGUUUUGACUGUCACUCAUAUUUCAUGGGUUUUCUUGUUACACUUGAUUAACAGAGUCAAUUAUACUAUUAGUAACUAUCAAAUCAAUUUUUUACCCUAAUAAGAAAUAUGCAUCACCCCUUGAACUUUUAGAACAUUUGGACUUAUUAAACGGUUACCUAGUUUCUACUUCAUAGCAUAUGGAUAAUAUAUAUCGUUGUUACUUAGUUUUGUUACGUUUUGCUGAAUUCAUAUAUGCUUUAAGGUGGAAAUUACCCCGACUAAUGUCAGUUUUUGGACUGUCAUGAUCAUCGGUAGUCAUUAGGUGCUGAACAAAAGAGUCCAAGAACAAAAGCAACCAAAAAUGAAAUGCUCAUAUAUAAGAUUCUCAUUUUUGGUCCAAAUUUGAGGUUUAAUGGUUAUCACUUAAUGCAGCUUUCUUAUGUUGAUGUGUACCUCAAUAUGUAAUAUUUACAGUAACAUUGUACAGUGAUUAAUUUUGAUACAAUUUUGUGUGAAUGGGAGAAAUCUUUACUCUGGAUGGGAAUAAAUAAUAUUAACUUUCGCUUUAAAUCUAUGAUUUCGAAGUCGUGCUGCCCUCCCCCUUCCUCACCUCUCUCUCUUCUCUAAUCUUAGGUUUCUUAUGGGAGUCAUUUCUCGAAGAGAGUCCUCCGCAGGGUCAAUAAACAAGCUGCUUUGCCUUUUGCUGAACGUACUUUUGCCAGAUGCCUAGAGUUUGAAGAUACUGGGAGGAACUGCUUUAGAAAAGCUGCUUCUAGUUCAUCAGUUGCUAUUGGGAGCGAUGUUGCAAGGGGAAAUGAGGAGCCGCACAAUGUAGGAAAGAAUCGUGUGAACCCUUCAACAAAACAACCAACUGCAUCUGUUCCAUAUGAGCGCAGAGACUCGGCUUCUUUAAUGGACUUGGACGAAGGUGGUAUGCAAGACCACGACUGGCAAGGUCUCGCCAUACCAAUGGAUAACCUCUCAGAUGUCCAUUUUGAUUACUGGUUUUAAAACACCAAAUAGCAAGCUGUUUAGUUUAAGGUUAGACGCUUGAUAUUUGUUUACAUUUACAGCGUGACCUGCUCCAUUACAUGUUGGAAGAGCAUGAGGUCAUAUUUGUUUUCAAGUCUCGGUACUAGUAUUUCCGGAUAUGUUCAUUUUGGACGACGUUAAUGUUUUUCAAAAUCAACGAGCUCUGUCCUUUGUGCAACGAAGCUCCCGAAUCAAUACUGCAUACUUUGGUGAUUUGUCCGUAUGCAAGCACAUGUUUUACACAAGCUGUCUCUUCCAACAAUCACAGGAGAAUUCCACUCUUUUCCGGAAUGGUUAGAGUUAAUAUUUCAGCAGAGAAACAAAGCCCAGAUUCAUAAUACAGUCAUGGCCUGCUGGAUGGUGUGGAAAGGGCGAAAUGAGGUGGUAUGGAAUCAGCGGGGUAUGGAUCCUAACGAUGUGGUUCAAUCUGCGUAUUCUGUUCUUAAUCAGUGGACGAGUGCUCAAGACAAAUCUUUUGACCGUUUUAUGAGUCUUAUGACUCAGGAGGACGGACACGAGCACUGGCAACUACCAAAGACAAACAGGAUUAAGAUAAACAUAGAUGCAGCCAUAUAUGAAGAGUCCAACGGCUAUAGUCAUGCCUUCGUGGUUCGUAACCAAAGUGGUGAAUUUUUGGAAGCAGAGUCGAAGUGUUCACGUGGUACAAUCAAUGCAGAGUUAGCCGAGGCCAUAGGCAUUCGAGAAGCUUUGAGUUGAGUUAAGCAGAAACAAGUAGAAGGAGCCGAGGUUGAAUCUGAUUGCCUGCAAGUUGUCCAAGCCAUUCGGAGCUCAGUGUCUAGCUUCUCUUAUCUAGGGAGAGUCGUGGAGGAGUGCCGAAAGCUUCUUGCAAGCUUAAAAGAUCAAGACAUUUUGUUUAGGUUUGUUAAACGAUCCGCGAAUAACGUAGCUCACUAUCUAGCGAGGUAUAGUUGUUCAGUAGCAGAUCGCGGGUUGAAGAUGUUCACCCAGCCUUUAAUUCUGUUUUGUUGAGUGAUUUGAAGUAAUAAAAUCUCUCUUUUUGUGGAAAAUAAUAAUAAAAAUAAUAAUUUUAAACCUUAAUCGGCUAAUUGGUUGAUGUGCUAGUUCUGCUUAUUUAUUGUGCAGAAUGCAAAUAUCGCUUUCAUUUUCGCAGUCAUCCAAGUCAACUCAAAUAGUUCAUAUCAAAUUUGAAUCAUUGUUUACUUUUCAAAUAAGGUUUAUAUUUUCUGGAGUCUUAAAUAUGAUUAAAAAUAAUUAUAUUCAAAUAAAAGAAUAGAAUGUAAUACAAUUCUCUAAAAGUUUAUGUUUUUCUCUUCAACUCCUCUUAUUCUAGGUAACGUCGUAACGAUAUAUGUGAGAGAGGUGGAAUGUGGCUCAAACCAAAAUAUUAAUGUUCACAUGGCUGACUUGGAUUCAAGUGGAUAUUGAAUUGGAGAAGAAUGGUAGCUCUGGUUGCUAGAUUUUUAAUAAUAAUUCUAAAUUGAUUUCUACAUGAGCUCUACAUUUAUUUCUAAAUAAUAGAUAGAUGUAACUAUAAAAUCUAAAGUUUAAAUACCCAAUAAGACUCAGAAAAAGUUCAAAAUUCAUGGAGUUUUAUAUUUCAUACACUUCGUUAGACAAAAUUUACUAGUGUAAUACAGUGCAUAAUCUAACUAAAUAUUACUCGAAAAUUUUGAAAUGACUUCUUUUAUAAAGAUUUGGUAAACUUCUGAGCUAAUUUGUCAUGUAUUCAUAUAUACCGCAGAGUUCCAACCUUCUAACUCUAUCAUUAAUGAGUUCGCGCAAGAAAUAGUAUCAUACCUCCAAAUCUUUAUUUAUGUUAUGAAAAAACUAAUAUAUUGACAACUUAAUGCUUGAAUUGUUGUCAUAUAAAAUAGUAGUAUUGUCUUUCAAAACAUGUUCUGAAUCCUCUCAUGCAAUUACUCGGUAUGCACAUAUAGCAGUAUUUAUAUAUUCUACCUAUAUUAUCCACAAAGCAAUUUGUACUUCGUUGAUGACCAUAGUUCGCUACUCGACUCGUCACAAUUAUAUAGUUUGAAGUAUCUUCUUUUCAUUAACAUCUUAAGUGCUCUAUUCGUAAACACUUUUAAAUCGCAGCCCACAUUCACCUCCGUUUAUACUAAACAUCAUAGUCUGGUAUCCCUUAAUUUUUGCACACCUUUUUCGCUGUCUAAAAAUAUAAUAUCGGAAGUCUAGACAUGUAAUGCCAUAAUAUACUUGCUUCAAAUUUUUGAAUUUUAUAGGCAUUAUAUAUCAAAUUAGUCUUUUCUUCAAAUUGAACAUUUUUAAUGAUUUUAUAUUUACUUACUCCUUCGGCCCAAUAAAAUACAGACAAACAUUAUAUUAACAUCCCAAUUAUAAAUAUAAUUUGCUCAAAGACUUCUGUUCCACAAUUCUUACUCCCUCCGUCCCAUCCAUUUCUUUACACUUUCCUUUUUGAGUUGUCCCAUCCAAUUCUUUACACUUCAAAACUUACCAAAAAUAGUCAAUGGGUCCCACAACUUCUCCAUUUUUUUUUCCUUUUCACACUACUUUUACUCCACCAUCUUCUUUUUAUAUAUUAAAAAUCAAUGGAUCCCACCACUUCACCCACUUUUCUUUCUCUUUUCCAAUACUUUAUACAUAUUCCUUAACCUCCGUGCCCAACCAUUCGAUAAGAGGGAGUAUAACUUAGACCUCUUGAAGUGCUAUUAUGACAAUAGAUGUUAACAACUCUAACACUCAACAAUAUCAUAGAUAUUGUAUUGUAUAGUGAUUUUUUUUUUGUCAUGAUAUUUAAGAAAACUAAUAAAAAGUAAAAACGACCUCUUUUACGAGCAAAAAGAUAUAAAACUAUAAUUCGAAAAUCUUGACAUAAAAAAUCAAUGCAAUCCACUUGUAUAUCUACAAAAUAGUUGAGAAAAAAUUAAAAAUAUUACAGCUGGAGUUAAAAUAUCUUGAAUCUCACAUUUUGAAAAUAUGACCCGGAUAUCACGCUAAGAUACUAUAUAUCAUGUAACUUUAGGUUAUAAGAAUAAAGGAAAAUACUUUGUGCACAUAAUUACAAAAUUUUGUAUAUAACAUGUGGUGUGUUUUAAUUGGAAUGGACCCGUAAAUUAUGAGAAAUAUGUUAUAUGUGUUUGGGUUUCAAACGUGAAGAUAAAGUUUGGGUUUCAAAAGAUAAAAUUGGUUUGUGUUUUCCCUGCAAGCUUGGGCUAAAAAAAUAAAUAAAUGCUACAUGAUGUAUCAUGCAACUUUAUCAAUUAUAUUUGAGAACAUAUCUUCUCAACAUAUUUGAGACAUUAUUGUUUAAAAUUGAUAAAAAACUUGUACACCCAUGAAUAGUUCAGGUUAUAUCCAAUAUUAUAUCUAUUAAAAAAUAUUUUACAUGUUUCAAAAAAAAAAUUUAUAUUAAAUAAUAAUAUUACUUGCCAAGAAAGACUCUGUAAAAUUCUUAUUCUUAUUCUUAUAUACUCCUUCCGUCCGGGUGAUUUAUAUACAAAUGGUUUGGACACGGAGACCAAGAAAAAUUGUAAAAAUGAGUAAAGUUAGAGGAAAAAUGGGUAAAGUGGUGGGACUCAUUUAUAUUUAAUGAUAGAUUUGAGAUAGUGGAGGAAAGUAGUGGGUGUAAUAGUGUUUAUAUUAUUAUAGAAUGAAGAUAGUGGAAGAAAGUAGUAGGUGUAAUAGUGUUUUAUAUUAUUAAAAGUUACUAUUUUUGGAAUGUAUAGAAAUGAUGGGACGGCCAAAAAAGGUAAGUGUAUAGAACUGAUCGGGACGGAGGGAGUACAGAAUACAGAAUGAUUGACAAUCAGUGCAGAGAAGAAGUGCAAUAAUCAGAAAAUUUGAGCGGUCAUUUUAGAAAUAAAUCAAAAUCGAAUAAAAAAAUUGCCUAAUCCUCAAAUCAUUGAUAAGCAGAAGUGAUUCAGGCGACUUGGUCGAUUCCGAGAAGCCUCUCGCACACAAAUGAUCUUCAUGAUGCUGUCCAGACAUGAAUUCGAUUCUCAACGCAACUUUGCUUACUCAGGUUCUAUUUUACACUACUUUACGAUGAAUAAUAUCUUUGUUUGUUUAUGAUUUUCACCUUUUGAGCUAUUAUUUUGUAAUAUACACCUUUGAUCGUUGUAAUAUCGUAAGUAAUUGAGUUAUAGGUCAGUGUAUUGCUAAAUCGGAACUUAAUUCUUGCUAGAAGUGUUUAAUUACGAGUACAUCGUGUUUUGAUACAUUUUUUUUUUUUUUUUUACAUUUCUUAUGAUUUUUUGAGCCAUUAUUCAGCUUUGAUUGUAGUAAUUGAGUUCUAGGUGUAUUGGGUUCUUGCUAAAUUCUUGCUUCAAGUGUUGCAUACGAUCUUAGUGAAGUCCAAUAGAGAAGCGGAGUCUCUCCGCUCAAAUGAGAUAGAUUGAGUUAGUUGUUUUGUUCUUUUUAGAUUCCAUGUUAGUAUUAUGUAUGUAGCAAUGAUUAAUAUUUAUUAAAUACAGCUCUAUCAUGAUCCGAAGAUUCCAGUCUCAUAUUUUACGAGUUCCUCAUGAAAGUGAUAUCAUACAUAGCUUGAAAGUUUGAUGUAUUUAUUUUAAAAUUGCUUUAUCAUAUUUUUAUUAAUUUUAGGAUUCAUGUGCACGUGGAAAUCUUGCAGUAAACAAUGAAGAAAAUGCUCCACAAAUAUCUAAAAUCGAAGAAACCAAAGACUCAUUGGCGGCCUCAGGUAAAAAUGUAUUCACAUUACAUAGCAUGUUUAAUUCGUAUAAAAUAAUAAUGGUUCAAAUGUUAUGAGUGAUAUUUGAAAGGCUCAAGAUUCUCUCUGUUCUACACUCAAUGUAGUAGCUGAGCAAGCUGCACAAACAAUGUAGUUCUAUUCAUUUUCUUUACUCCACUUUUCUUAUUAUUAAUCGGAACAUGCUCUUGGCAUUUACGAAUUUUUCAUAUAAAAAAUUGAUAUUACCUGGGUGGGAAAUUGUAGUUUUCAUGGCAUGAUUAUCUUUUACAGGAGAUCUAUGAUACUUGAAAGUGAUUUUUAUAAUGUUAGAUAUGACAACUUCGUAGGAGCUAUAGAGAAAUAUUUUGGCAAAGGUAUAUAUGUAAGCUGGAGGGUUACGAGCAAGCUGCAAGAUCAACAAAGUAACAAAGGACUGAUUAGUUUUCCAAUUAGAAAUAGAAGUGGAUUUGAACCAAGUUGUUAAAUUGGCUAGGAUUUAGUCAUCAUAUCUGAACCAUUGUCAUCAGUAUGGAUCUUCUCAAUCUCUCACUGCUUUGACUCUAGUAUAUCUCAAAUCCAUUAAUACCGAACAUCUAUAUGUAUGGAAGGAGACUGAAAACCAGAAUUCUGACUCAAGUGAAUGGCACUCUGACUGUCACAAAAGAGAGUGAAUGGUAUCCAACAAUGAUACCAUGCAUAUUCUAUAAAUUUAAACCUAUAAAAAGAUUAAAGAAAUCAUAAUUUGUCAAAUUGAUGGAAUUUAAGACAACAGUAACAUCGUCUAAAUUGAACAUAUCCGAGAAUACUAGGACAAGAACUGAAAACAAUAUGACCUCAUGUCUUCCAAUAUGUAAUGGAGCGGGUCAUGCUGCAAGUGUGAACAAAGAUCAAGCGUCUAACCAGUAUGCAAAAUGGAGAUCUCAGAGGUUAUUCAUUGCUAUGGCAAGACCUUGCUAGUCCUGGUCUUGCAUACCACCUUCGUCCAAGUCCAAUAGAGAAGUGGAGUCUGUGUGCUUAAAUGAAAUUAAUUUAAUUGGUUGGUUUGCUGGAGAAUUCACAAGAUUUUUUCCUACAUUGUGCAGCUCCUCAUCUCUCCUUGUAACAUAGAUCCUAAUAGCCAUUGAUAGACAAUAAACAUGAGGAGAUUCACUGACAGUAUUUGUUGGGUUCCAUAUAUCUGCUCCUAGGUUCAGCUCCUGAAGCUAACAAGUUCACUUUACCUUAGGCUAUGGUUUAGAUUCAAGAACAUAAGCAGUACUGCCUACUGGUGGGGGAACAUUUCUCCUACCGCUUUAGUUGUUUGAUAUGAUUUUUAGGAAUCAACCUCUCUCUCUUCCUCUCCUGCUUCUCUGUCCCUUCGCGCUACCACAUGGCAUUGCUCUUGAGGAAUCACUGCAGACAUCAUUGGGCAGCAUAUUUUUGUUCAAUGCUAUAAAUUGUUGUUCGUCCCUAGAACCUCUAACAAGAAAAAUAACAUUGGAACCAGGCAUCUGUAUCAUACUGAAAUAGAACUAACUGUUGGGAGAGAAAACUUGAUAGCUAAACGAACUGAACGUCUUGAAGUGAAAAACUAUAACUUAACCAACUCAUAAAACAAAAGGGAAGACAUGAUAUUCGUCAACCACACACUGAUCAUGAAAAAUAGAAAAUUUCUCUCCAGAUGCAUCAUUUUAAAAGAAACUUGAUCCUCAUGUAUAAUCAAGAAAUGUAUAAACGACUUACCUGAACCCUUAGGUUGCAAAUUAUGGCUAGGUGAACUGUAUUUACUUUUGGAACUUGUAAGGGCUUGUUUAUCAACAGAAUUCAGAACUUGUGUACAAUUUAUUUGUUGCAGUUAGAUACCUUUUAGUCCUUUUUGUUUAAAAACGAAUCAGAUUGUCUUUUCAAUUUUACAUCAUCCUUAUUUUGCUUAAGAAUUUAGAGCUUCCAUUACGUAUUUUGGAUUAAUAUGUUAACUGAUCUUUCCAGAGAGAUGGCAGAUCAGACCAAAUCACUAUACAGCUGAUUGUUGUAGGAAUUCUAGAGGCAUGCUUGACGUCAGGGAUGAUCCUAUAUUUCCUGCUGGAGGCGGUGGGUGGGACAAACAAAAGAAAAGGAUGCGAUCUUCUGGAGCAGCAAGUAACAGAAGUAUUACCUUGAAGAAAAUUGUCAAACACGCAGUUCACGUGAAGCUGAGUGCUGAGACUAUGCUGCAGCCUCCUCAAGCUUAAUGUUUUAGGUAACUGAAAGAAAUUGAUUUCAAUAUCUUAAAAGCUUCUCUCAUCAAUGGUCUUAAUCAAGCUGAAUAUGACAAGGUGUCAUCUCUCAAAUCUGCAAAGGAGAUAUGGGAUGCUUUGGAAGCUUAUCAUGAAGGAUCAAAGGGUCUAAGGAAAGUAAAAUUGGGACAACUCAUGAAGGAACUUGGUGCUUUCGGUUUGCAGAAGGGAGAAUCAAUCAAAGAAGCUCAAGCUAGGUUUCAACUCAUUGUUAAUAACCUAGGGAGACUUGGAAAGAUAAUUCCUCAGUCAGAACUCAACAUGAACAUUCUUGCUUCUGUUCCAUUCGACUUUCAAUCCAAUAGUCAAUCUUUUGGAAUGGGUAUGAGGUACAUCACCCCUCAUGUCGGGUUCACACACCCAUAAGAUGGAAAUUCUUUAUCCUGCAAAUUCAUUCUCAAACAAAAAGUAUCUUAGAAACUCAGGAGUAAUGUUUCUUUCAGCGGUUUUAAUUUUUUAUAAACUUCAGCAUUUAUUAGUGAAUACAAUUGUUAUCCCACAAGCAUGUAGAAUUUAAAAAUGCAGGUUACAGAUAUGUAACGCUUAUUUGGUAGGCCCCAGUUAAAUAAUACAUUCCAGGUUGGGUUCUGCUUUGAAUAAAUCGCCUCCCGUUGCCGUCUUCCCACAUAAAAACCCUGUUAGGGCUCAUAAUUGGGGAAUAUCUUAUAAAGGACUAGUUGUAGAAGAGAAAGGCCGAAGUAGUACGCAUAUAGACCUCUAGUGGUCAGAUCUCAAUUACCUGCUUUUGAAUUGUAUCUGCUAUCUGGUAUGUUGUUGAUUAUUCCUCUAAACUGUAAUCUGGAUAUUUACUCGCUUCUUCUAUUCUGAUGUCCACUCCCGACACAAUUGAUCCUUAAUAUAUUGUAUAUUAGACAUGUCUGUAUAUGAACAGAUUAUCAAAUAUAUUCUCGAUGUCAAUUGUUGGACCAAAUUAUUUGUUUAUAGUUUAAUUCGAGACAUAAUCGGGGCCUCGAGAUCUGAUAAUUUUUUUUUGUAUAUUUGGUUGUGUGGUAGGUUUUGGUCUGGUGCAAAUUACCUUGUUAGAUCUGUAUUCUCCGUUAUUAGAAAUUAAUAGUUUCAUGUAUUCUGUCACAGUAAAUAGAAGCCCAAUUUAUAAGGAUACUAUACACAUUUUUUUUUCACUCACGGUAAAAAUCGAUAUGCUUUUGACUAUCAGAAAAUGUCUAGUAAAUUUUUUUUAUGUUAUAUCUGUGAAAGAAAGCACCUCUUGUUUAAUUUUAAUUACUUAUUCCAGAAUUGAUUUCUUUCUUUCUAUGUCUUUAGAAUUUGAAGUCAGUUGACAUAAUAUAUGACGAACAUGCCUUUGUUUAGUUCUGAGCAACUAUCCUUUUAAAUCAUAAAAGCUUAACAAAUAUGUAAAAAAUUUAGCUGUGGGAGUGUGGUCACUUCUAAACUUUUAGCAUUUUUUUCAAGGUAAACUUUUUUUCUAUUAGUUAUAUCUAGUUAAAAUCGUUGAAUAGACUCUUUCGUGUCUAGCACUCUAUCCCUACAUUAUAUAGAACUACUAUAUAUUUCAUGUUUAGAGCAAGAUAUCUAUCUUCGAUGGUGCAAUGUUAUAUUCAAGUUAUUUACUUGAAAAUGAAUGUUGUGUAUGAUUAUACUACUAGACAUAAUCGGGAGAAUUAAAAUGAUAUUUAUAUAGGAACAUGUGGUUGAUGCUUGAGAUUUGAACCUUCUGUAUCUUUUAAUAAAUUAUACCAGCGUUUUAUUCUAAUAAUUUUUUGACAAAUUAGAAUGUUAGACCAUUUGCAGUAGUUUAGAUAUUUAUAUAAAGACCUUUUUUUGGCAUUAUAUCCAAUGGUUAUCAUCCAUUUACUUUCUAACAGUUGUUACUUUUUUAAUGAUUGGAAUGUUAUUUUGUGGAUAUUACUUCACAAACUGAGUAAUAUUUGAAGCACCAAGUAAUGACCGACGGCAAAUCUAGUUCUGCCACUAUUUCCUUACUCCAGAAUUGUGCUUUCUUUUGAUCUAUGUGUAUAAAAUCUGAUGUUAGUUGACAUGAUAUAUAUGACGAACAUGCCUUUUUUUUAGUUCUGGAAAACUAUCCUAGUAAAUAAAACUUAACAAAUAUCUGAAAAUUUUAGCUUUGGGAGUCUGGCCGCCUUUUCUUGUUAUUAAGAUCAUUUUAUGUACGUACGCUAAGAGGAAGCAGGUGUAUAAACAACUUUAUCUGCUUUGUUUUGUUUGAGAAAUGAUUACAUCCCUUUCCUUGAUGCUUAUGUGUUUGGUGUAAUUUUCUUUUGGGGUAGUGAUUGUUACUAGGACUCUGGGCUGCCCCUCGGAUAUGAUUCAUCUAUUAAGUUAUCCUUUAGUUUGCAUGGUAGACCUUUUGAGCUCAUCUAUUUUUUAAUUUUACAUACAAUUUCGUUUAUAAUUAGAUAAUUAUCACUCAAUAGUAUACUUUCUUAUUGGUAGAAUGAUGGUGCUAAAUUAUUCAUGAAGUGUAAAGCUAUUAUAUUAAAUGACAUGAAUAUGAUUUUGAAUAGUUAAAAGGUUUGCAUAAGCAGGACUGUACUAGAAAUGGUUAGGGUCAGAGUGGGUUUGACAAUGUGUGCUUUGAGUUGCUGAAUUUGAGAGAUCUAGGUUAUGUAAUUAAGGUAUGUCCAGAUAGCACAAAUUCAUGUCUCAUAGUGCUUGUCUAACUUUACUGCACCUUUAGGUCUGUUAAUUUGUCUGCGGGUGCCACCUUAUCAGUACAAUACUCCUGAACGGCCAGACUAAAAUUGUAAACUCAACAGAUUUACUACAUAUAUUAGCCAGGAUAGCACCACAGUUUGCUUUAUUUUAAGAGAUUAUACUGGUUAGCUUUUGAUGUCUGGUAUUGUUGUAUAUCAUAUAGCUGCCUUGCUCCUCUUUUUUUUUGUUGAGUUUCAUGUGCGCAUUCUUAAAAAUUUUAUCUGCGCAGAUCUAUGGCAUCUUCAAGGAAGACUUCUGGUACUCCAAAAACCUGUUCUAUCCCGGUGUUGGACUCCUCUUCAGAUUUUUCAGGUACAAUGACUGACGAUUUGUUAAUGUUUACUAAAAAAUUUAGCAUCAUUUUUCAUUACUUUAUGUUCGCUGAAGUCAACUUUUUGGUGGGUUUCUAUCAGUUAUAUCUAGUAUCAUGAUUAGAGCAGGAUAUCUAUCUUCGAUGUUGCACUGUUAUCCUGAAGUUAUUUACAUCAAAAUGAUUUUUUUGUAUGAUUAUACUAUUGGACAUUAUUAUGAGAAUUAAAAUAAAUUAUAUAAUAACAUGCGGUGAUGAUCCUCGAACCUUUUUUUUUUUGAAUUAAUUCAGUGUUUUAUUUUGAUAUGUUGUUGACGAGAUUCGAAUAUGUAGACCAUUGGUACUAGUUUAGAGAUAUCGGAAUGGAACAUUGUUUUAGUACCAUAUCAUGUUUCUCAUCUAUUUACUUUGAAAUAUAUGAUUGUUGUUAUUCUCGUUUAGUUAGUGUGUUAAUUAACCAAGACAUAGCCCUGUUCGCGUAUGAUAGUAUAGUAUAAAUAGAUAGGAAGUAUCAAUAUGUAACUGUAUUAUUAUGGUUGUACGUCUUUUUUGUUGGUAGUAGUAAUUUUGUAAUUGGCAGUUAUCUUCGUAUUUUAAUAUUUAUGGAGUUGGGAAAGAAUCAAACAUGUAGAAGGAAAGGAAGAUAGUAAUAUAGUUUCAGAAGAACUUGAAACUUGAAAGCAUACUAACAUCAGGUGUAAUGCAAAAAUUGUAGGUGAGUUGGAUGAGGAUCGUGAGGAAUUAUUAUUUGCUGCAGAUUUUGCUCAGAACGCCAGCUGUAUGCAUCUGCCCCUUUGCUUAUUUGCAUUUUUGUUCUUUAACUUAUUAGACGAUAUGAUCAUAUUGUAUUUUUUCUGAAUAAGUCCUACACUACCAAGAAUGGUGACGCUCUUUCUUUUCUCUUUUUGCAGACCGCGCUUGUUCUGAUUCGUUUUGGAAGAAACUGGAGUGUUAUUUUGCGCCUGUUACUUCACAAAAUGAGUCAUAUUUGAAGCACCAGGUAAUGACGGAGGUCAAAUAUAGUUUUGCCGUAUUAAACUUGUGCUUAGGAGUUCAUGAAGAAUAGAUAUGUUAUUUAAAACUGUUUCAUGUCUUAUAUUCAACAGCAGGAUUUAGCUGAUGCAAUCGGUGGGAGUUUAUACCAGAACGCUGAAGGUGAAGAUUAUAAAGCUCCUACUUUGUUGCAAAGACUCAUCUCUGCUAUAAUUGACGACGAUGAAAGCGAAGGGAUGAGCCAGAAUGGAGACAAGAUGGAAUCUCCCAUUCCUUCUCCCGAUUGCAACAGUCAUAUGCUGUCUGUGGAGGACAAUAUACGAGUGCAGCUGCAGAGCAUUGAUUUGUGUCCUAAAAUGGUUAUGUACCUCUGUUGUUAUUUGGUGAUGUACAUAUCAACUAAACUGACUAAUCUAAUUCUUCUCUUACUAUUGCAGCAUCCAGAGGGAGAGGAUGCAAUCGAUAAAGAUAUUCGUGAACUUGAAGAGAAAUUAGUUCAGCAGGUUUCUUUCUUUUUAAAAACCCUUAGAGAGAAUAACUAAUAAGUUCAUUUGUGUCUUCUUGGUGCUAUAUCAGAUUAUGUAUGCACCUUAAUAUUCUUUUUUCUUGAUUAUUUAGUCUAUUGUCUGCAUUUUUCCUCUUCCCAGUUUCUUAAACAUUUACAAAUAUACAGGCACAGAAGAAGAAACAAUACAUUGCAAAAAUUUAUGAAUCUAUUCAACAUAGGAAGGAUGCAGAGAAAAGGUAUCGUUGCGUUCAACCUUAGUUUGAUUAUGCUCUUAUGGCCUCUUUUACAGAUAAGACAAUUAGGUUUGUCUGCAGGAAUCUGGAGCAGGCCGCUAUGAGUAAAUUGAUCGAAAUGGCCUACAAAAGACAAAGGGUAAUAGUAUCUUUUUCAUCUGCUUAUUAAUUUUCUUUUCACUUAUUGCUAUUAGUAACCAAGUUAUAUUGAAUUUUAGGAAUCUUGGCACUAUAUACCAAGAAGCAAAUCAUGCAUCUUUCUAUUUAAACUGUACAUUCUAUGGUUAAUAGAAAUUUAAGUAAUUGCUAUAGAUGCAUACACUACACUUGCACUAAUAAUAUAUAAAAAAGAUGUGCAAGCAUUAGAUGGUCUCUGCCCAUGUGCAGGAGGGUCAUAGUCAUGUUAUACUAUUUGACGCUUAGAAGUUGAUAGAGAAAAGCUCAGCAGGUAGAAAGAAAUGGAACAAUAUAUACACGUCAUUGUACUUACUAAAACUAUGUUCUGGAGUUGAUAAAUUUGGAUGGUGAAAGUCCUGAGAGUUACGGCCUUUGACUUUAUAUCGAAGUCAAGCUUAAUAUUUUCUUUCAAUUUCUGCCUCUUUUUUUAAAUGGCAACGACCUGCUAUAUCAUAGUUGGAUGCAGUGAAACCCUAGAAGCGAGAUCUAAAAAUCGGUUUCCUGCUGCUAUGUAUCAUGAUAGAGUCAGAAGUAUGAAAUUUUUGUAGACACUAAUGAUUUUCCAUGAGCCAGUCUAUAUCAUGAGAGCUUAAAAUAUUAUGCAUAUGUCCUAUCAUGUUGUGGUAGAUUGUGAUUUGACUGUCACUCAUAUUUCAUGGGUUUUCUUGUUACACACUACACUUGAUUAACAGAGUAAAUUAUAAUAUUAGUAACUAUCAAAUCAAUUUUUUACCUUAAUAAGAAAUAUGCAUCACCCCUUGAACUUUUAGAACAUUUGGGCUUAUUAAACGGUUACCUAGUUUCCACUUCAUAGCAUAUAGAUAAUAUAUAUCGUAGUUACUUAGUUUUGUUACGUUUUGCUGAAUUCAUAUAUGUUUUAAGGUGGAAAUUACCCCGACUAAUGUCAGUUUUUGGACUGUCAUGAUCAUCGGUAGUCAUUAGGAGUCAAACAAAAGACCCCAAGAACAAAAGCAACCAAAAAUGAAAUGCUCAUAUAUAAGAUUCUCAUUUUUGGUCCAAAUUUGAGGUUUAAUGCUUAUGACUUAAUGCAGCUUUCUUAUGUUGAUGUGUACCUCAAUAUGUAAUAUUUACAGUAACAUUGUACAGUGAUUAAUUUUUAUACAAUUUUGUGUGAAUGGGAGAAAUCUUUACUCUGGACGGGAAUAAAUAAUAUUAACUUUUGCUUUAAAUCUAUGAUUACGAAGUCGUGCUGCCCUCCCCCUUCCUCACCUCUCUCUCUUCUCUAAUCUUAGGUUUCUUAUGGGAGUCAUUCCUCGAAGAGAGUCCUCCGCAGGGUCAAUAAACAAGCUGCUUUGCCUUUUGCUGAACGUACUCUUGCCAGAUGCCUAGAGUUUGAAGAUACUGGGAGGAACUGGUUUGGAAAAGCUGCUUCUAGUUCAUCAGUGGCUAUUGGGAGCGAUGUUGCAAGGGGAAAUGAGGAGCCGCACAAUGUAGGAAAGAAUCCUGUGAAUCCUUCAACAAAACAACCAACUGAAUCUGUUUCAUUUGAGCGAAGAAACUCUGCUUCUCUAAUGGACUUGGACGAAGGUGGUAUGCAAGACCACGACUGGCAUGGUCUUGCCGUACCAAUGGAUAACCUCUCAGAUGUCCAUUUUGAUUUCUGGUUUUAAAACUCCAACUAUCAAAUUGUCUAGUUUAAGGUUAGACGCUUGAUCUUUGUUUACAUUUACAGCAUGACCUGCUCCAUUACAUGUUGGAAGAGCAUGAGGUCAUAUUUCUUUUUCAAGUCUUGGUACUAGUAUUUCCAGAUAUGUUCAUUUUGGACGAUGUAAAUGUUUUCCAAAAUUCUAUGAUUUUGCCAGAACUAUGAUUUCUUUAAUCUUUUGGUAGGCUUAAAUGAUGCAAAGUUAUAAUGCUGUUCAUUCUGUUCUUAAUAAAUUGUUCUUUAUAAACUGUUCUGUAUUCGCAUGGUUACUUGAAGCAACCUCCAUGUGUUUGCUCCAAAUUGAAAAUUUUGAACAGCAAAUUUUGGUUGAUGAGACCCUUGUACUCUAUGUUCUCUUUUAUCUGUAACCUCAAGUUUUGUAUUUGCAGCAUAUAAAUUAUAUAGAACUUGUAUAUCUGAAAACUUGAAACCUUCAUCGGCUAAUUGGUUGAAGUACUGGUUCUACUUAUUUAUAGUGCAGAAUGCAAAUAUCUAAUAAUGGUCCGCUGAGCUUUUACUUUCACAAUCAUCCAAGUCAACUCAAAUAGUUCAGAUCAAAUUUAAAUCAUUGUUUACUUAAAAUUUGGUCAAAAAAAUAUUUACUUUUCAAAUAAGGUUCAAAUUUUUUUUUUUUUUCCUUUGGAGUCCUAAAUAUGAUUAAAAAUAAUUAUAUUCAAAUGAAAGAAUAGAGAGUAACACAAUUGAGUUCUCUCUCUCUGAGUUUUUGUCUUUCUUUUCAAACUCCUCUUUACUUCAGAGCAAUUCCAACAGGGCCCUAUAAUGGUGUCCUUAAGUUAAAAUUUAAGGCAUUUGAGAUAAAGAUGUAAUCCAACAGUGUUCUAGUGGUUCUAGUGGUGCCUUAAAACACUAGGGCACAAUACAUGUGCCUUAUUUAUAGGCAUUAUCAUACUUGUCCUAAACCAUUUUAAUCCAUAAAAUAUUCACUUUCUCUCUCUUUUCACACCUAUGUUCUGCAACUAUAGAAUGACAUAAAAACAUUGCAAAAAAUAUGAAACUUGUUAUUUUGUAAAAUACAUUCUAUAAAUAUCACUAUUUCAUGAAAAAUAUUGAGAAUCAUUUAUGUUCGACAAGUAGAACACAUAUGUUCUGUAAUAUGUAAAUAUAUUCUGCAAACUUAACAUGUUUUGCAGAAUAAUGUGUUUUUCACUAUUUAACUUGAAGAAUGUUUAGAAUUGUCAAAAUUUUUAACAAAAUAAUAAUGUUUAUAGAACAUGAUUUGCAAAAUAACACAUUUUGCAAUGUUUUUAUGCCAUUCUAUAGUUGCAGAACAUACGUGGUCUACGGUACUACAGUAAAUAUGUGGACUACAUGGAACUUUGUUCUAAUAUUUUAAUAUUAAGACAUGAAGAUAAGGCAUAUUGUUGGAAUAAAUGUAUGUGUAUAGUGUCCUAAAUCACUAGGACAUUACUCCCUCCGUCCCUCUCAAUAGUUUACAUUGAGUUUGGGCACGGAUGUCAAGAAAUAUGUAUAAAGUAGUGAAAAAGAGAAAGAAAAGUGGGUAAAGUGGUGGGACCUAUUGAUUUUUAAUAUAUAAAAGGGAGAUAGUGGAGUAAAAGUAGUGUGAAAAGAAAGAAAAAGUGGAAAAGUGUGGGACCCAUUAACUAGUUUAGGAAAGUUUUGUAAUGUAAAGAAAUGAGAGGGACAUCCAAAAGAAGAAACUGUAAAGAAUCUAGAUAGUGUUAACGGAGAAAACAGGUAGGUUAACAAAGAUGAGGUUCGCGGCGUGGAUCAAGAUUCUUGUUGGCGAGAAUGUAGGAAGCGGUUGAUUGUUUGUUAUAGUGGUGGCUGCAAUUGUAAGCAAAGGGUUCGAGAUUGCUAACUGGAAUAGCUCUCAAGAAUGAUCGAUGCCUACAAUCUGCCUACGUACCCCUAUUUAUAGGGGAUCAAGCCGGCACGUAGUUCUUUCUCCUAAGAGACCCAUGUGGGCUGGGCCUCCCCUUCUAGAAUCUUCCUCCCGAAAGGGGCCCAAUACGAUGAGGCCUAGCCCUUUAGCUUACCCCAAAUGCAUGGACACUAUCCUACUCCCCGACAGGGACAACCCGCCAGACUACAGAGAUAGGACCUUCCAAGACAUGUCUUUUCUUCUAUCCUCUACCUCCCAAGGAGGACAACCCCUCAGACUACAAGGUAGGGUCUUCAUCAUUUCAACAGUUGGGUCCACUCAUGUUUAAAGACGUCCCCCUAAACAAGAAGUAUCUCCUGCUGCCCUUCUGUACUAUAAUUGAACGAACUCUCCUUAGCAAGUGGGCGCGCCCAAAGAUAAGGCGCGCCCUGUCUUUUGACAGGGUCACCUUGAAACGGAGUUGAUCUUGACUUUCCUGACCCAAGUAGACCUUCUUCUGUGGGCCCGGCCCAUUUAAUUUCACAAUUUCACAUAUAACAGAGAGAUAGAGGGAGUAUAUUUUAUUAUAUAUAUACAGGGCUUCCAUUAAGACACUGUUGGACUUGCUCUUAGGUAAAGAUAUAUGUGAGAGGGGUAAAAUUUGGCAAGUAACGAUAUAUGUGAGAGGGGUGAAAUUUGGCUAAUACCAAGACACUCUUAGGUAAAGAUAUAUGUGAGAGGGGUAAAAUUUGGCAAGUAACGAUACACGUGAGAGGGGUGAAAUUUGGUUCAAUACCAAGACAUUAAUGUUCAAAUGUCACUACAUUAUGAAGUGUGAGGUUAUAAGAAUAAAACGGUACAUGUACGUGAUACACCGUAAUAUUAUGAAAAAUAUGUUAUAUAUCUUUAAACUUGAAAUUAUGAUAAAGAGGUGGGAUACCAAAAUAGUUCAAUUAUAUCGCUAUUAUAUCUGUUAAAAAGAGCAUAUAUUAAAUAAUAAUAUUACUUGCCAGUAAAAGACUCUGUAAAAAUUCUUAUAAUACGAUUGACAAUCACCUUGUGCAGAGAACAAGUGCAAUAAUUGGAAAAUUCGAGCGGUCAUUUUAGAAAUAAAUCAAAAUCGCAUAAAAAAUAUUGCCGAAUCAUCAAAUCACUGAUAAGCAGAAGUGAUUUAGGCGACUUGGUCGAUUUCGAGAAGCCUCUCGCGCACAAAUGAUCUGUGUGUCUACAUGAUGCUGUCCAGACAUGAAUUCAAUUCUCAACGCAACUUUGUUCACUCAGGUUCUAUUUCACCUUUUGAGCUAUUAUUUGGUAAUAUACACCUUUGAUCUUAAUAAUAUCGUAAGUAAUCGAGUUAUAGGUUAGUUUAUUGCUAAAUCGGGACUUAAUUUGUUUAAUUAUGAGGGCAUCUUGUUUUGAUACAAAGUUUUUUUACUUUUCUUAUGAUUUUUUGAGCUAUUAUUUUGUAUUAUUCAGCUUUGAUUGUAGUAAUUGAGUUCUAGGUGUAUUGGGUUCUUGCUAAAUUCUUGCUUCAAGUGUUGCAUAUGAUCUUUGUCGAGUACAGUAGAGAAGUGGAGUCUCUCCGCUCAAAUGAGAUAGAUUGAGUUAGUUGUUUUGUUCUUUCUUGGAUUCCAUGGUGUUUUUUCUUGUUACUUAUGUUAGUCUAUUAUGUAUGUAGCAAUGAUUAAUAUUUAUAAAAUACAGCUCUAUCAUGAUCUAGAAGAUUCCAGUCUCAUUUUUUACGAGUUUCUCAUGAGAGUGAUAUCAUACAUAGCUGGAAAAUUUGAUAUCUUUAUUUUAAAAUUGCUUUGUCAUAUUAUUAUUAAUUUAAGGAUUCAUGUGCACGUGGAAAUCUUGCAGUAAACAAUGAAGAAAAUGCUCCACAAAUAUCUAAAAUCGAAGAAACCAAAGACUCAUUGGCGGCCUCAGGUAAAAAUGUAUUCACAUUACAUAGCAUGUUUAGUUCGUAUGAAAUAAUAAUGGUUCAAAUGUUAUGAGUGAUAUUUUAAAGGCUCAAGAUUCUCUCUGUUCUACACUCAUUGUAGUAGCUGAGCAAGCUGCACAAACAAUGUAGUUCUAUUCAUUUUCUUUGCUCCACUUUUCUUAUUAUUAGUCGGAACAUGCUCUUGGUGUUUACGAAUUUUUCAUAUAAAAAAUUGAUAUUACCUGGGUGGGAAAUUGUAGUUUUCAUGGCAUGAUUAUCUUUUACAGGAGAUCUAUGAUACUUGAAAGUGACUGCUUUAGUUUGUUUGAUAUGAUUUUUAGGGAUUAACCUCUCUCUCUUUCUCUCUCGCUUCUCUUUCCCUUCGCACUACCACAUGGCAUUGCUCUUUUUGAAUCACUGCAGCCAUCACUGGGCAGCAUGUUCAAUCCCAUAUAGUGUUGUUUGUCCCUAGAAUCUCUAACAAGAUUAAUAACAUGGGAACCAGGCAUCUGUAUCAUACUGAAAUAGAACUAACUGUUGCAAGAGAAAACUUUAUAGCUAAACGAACUGAACGUCUUGAAGUGAAAAACUAUAACGUGAACCAACUUAUAAAACAAAAGGGAAAACAUGAUAUUCGUCGACCGCACACUGAUCAUGAAAAAUAGAAAAUCUCUCUCCAGAUACAUCAUUUUAAAAGAUAAUUAAUCCUCUGGUAUAAUCAGGAAAUGUAUAAACGACUUACCUGAACCCUUAGGUUGCAAAUUUUGGCUAGGUGAACUAUAUUUACAUUUGAAACUUGUAAGGGCUUGUUUAUCAACAGAAUUAAGAACUUGUGUACGAUUUAGUUGUUGCAGUUACAUACCUUUUAGUCCUUUUUGUUUAAAAACGAAUCUGAUAGCCUUUCAAUUUUACUUCAUCCUUAUUUUGCUCAAGAAUUUAGAGCUUCCAUUACAUAUUUUGGACUGAUAUAUUUCACUGAUCUUUCCAGAGAGAUGGCAGAUCAGCCCAAAUCACUGUACAGCUGAUUGUUGUAGAAACUCUAGAGGCAUGCUUAACGUCAGGGAUAAUCCUACAUUGCCUGCUGGAGGCGGUGGGUUGGACAAACACAAUAAAGGGAUGCGAUCUUCUGGUGCAGCUAGUAACAGAAGUAUUACUGUGAAGAAAAUUGUCAAACAGGCUGUUCACGUGAAUCUGAGUGCUGAGACGAUGCUGCUCCUCCUCAAGCUUAAUGUGUUAGGUAACUAAAAGAAAUUGGUUUCAAUGUCUCAAAAGCUUCCCUUGUAGUCAAUCUUUCGGAAUGGGUAUGAGCCUAUGAGGUACAUCACCCCUCAUGUCGGGUUCACACACCCAUUAGAUGGAAAUUAUUUAUCCUGAAAAUUCAUUCUCAAACGAAAAGUAUCUUAGAAACUCAGGAGUAAUGUUUCAUUCAGUGGUUUUAAUUUUUUAUAAACUUCAGCAUUUAUUAGUGAAUACAAUUGUUAUCCCACAAGCAUGUGGAAUUUAAAAAUGCAGGUUACAGAUAUGUAACGCUUAUUUGGUAGGCCCCAGUUAAAUAAUACAUUCUAGUUUGGGUUCUGCUUCGUAUAACUCGCCUCCCGUUGCCGUCUUCACACAUAAAAACCCUGUUAGGGCUUAUAAUUGGGGAAUAUCCUAUAAAGGACUAAUUGUAGAAGAGAAAAGCCAAAGUAGUGCGUGUAUAGACCUUUAGUGGUCAGAUCUCGAUUACCUGCUUUUGAAUUGUAUCUGCUAUCUGGUAUGUUGUUGAUUAUUCCUCUAAACUAUAAUCUGGAUAUUUACUCGCUUCUUCUAUUCUGAUGUCCACUCUCGACACAAUUGAUCCUGAAUAUAUUGUAUGUUAGUCAUGUCAGUAUAUGAACAGAUUACCAAUUAUAUUCUCGAUGUCAGUUGUUGGACCAGAUUAUUUGUUUAUAGUUUAAUUCGAGACAUAAUUGGGGCCUCGAGAUCUGAUAUAUUUUUUUUGUAUAUUUGGUUAUGUGAUAGUUGUUGGUCUGGUGCAAAUUACCUUGCUAGAUCUGUAUUCUCUGAUAUUAGAAAUUUUUAGUUUCAUGUAUUCUGUCACGGUCAUGAAUAGAAACCCAAUUUAUAAGGAAACUAUAUACAUUUUUUCACUCGUGGUAUUAUAUCCAGUGGUUAUUAUCUAUUUAUUUUUUAACAGUUGUUAUUUUUUUUGAUGAUUGGAAUGUUAUUUUGCGGAUAUUACUUCACAAAAUGAGUCAUAUUUGAAGCACUAAGUAAUGACCGACGGCAAAUCUAGUUCUGCCAUUAUUUACUUACUCCAGAAUUGUGCUUUAUUUCGAUCUUUGUGUAUAAAGUUUGAUGUUAGUUGACAUGAUAUAUAUGACGAACAUGCCUUUGUUUGGUUCUGAAAAACUAUCCUUCUAAAUUAGAACUUAACAAAUAUCUGAAAAUUUUAGCUUUGGGAUUGUGGCUGCUUUUUCUUGUUAUUAAGAUCAUUUUAUGUAUGUACGUUAAGAGAAAGCAGGUGUAUAAAGAACUUUAUCUGCUUUGUUUUGUUUGAGAAAUGAUUACAUCCCUUUCCUCUAUGCUUAUGUGUUUGCUGUAAUUUUUCUUUUGGGGUAGUGAUUGUUACUAGGACUGUGGGCUGCCCCUUAGAUAUGAUUCUUGUAUUAAGUUAACUUUUGGUUUGCAUGGUAGACCUUUUGAGCUCAUCUAUUUUUUAUUUUCAGAUAAAAUUUCAUUUAUAUAUAUAUAUAUUUUUUUUGUAAGGAAAUUUCGUUUAUAAUUCAGAUACUCAAUACUCAAUAUUACUUGCUUAUUGGUAGAAUGAUGAUGCUAAAUUAUUCUUGAAGUGUAAAGCUAUAAUAUUUAAUGAUUUGCCUACGAUUUUGAAUAGUUAAAAGGUUUGUGUAAGCAGGACUGUACUAUAAAUGGUUAGGGUCAGAGUGGGUUUGACAAUGUGUGCUUUGAGUUGCUGAAUUUGAGAGAUCUAGGUUAUGUAAUUAAGUUAUGUCCAGAUAGCACAAAUUCAUGUCUCAUAGUGCUUGUCUAACUUUUACUGCACCUUUAGGUCUGUUAAUUUUUCUGCGGGUUGUCACUGUUUUUGACAUGCAUCUCCUUAUCAGUACAAUACUCCUGAGCGGCCAAACUAAAAUUGGAAACUUAACCAAUCUGCUACAUAUAUUAUUAGCCAUAAUAGCACCGCAGUUUGCUUUAUUUUAAUAGAUUAUACUGGUUAGCUUUUGAUGUCUAGUGUUGGCUCCUCUUAUUUGAUUGAGUUUCAUGUGCGCAUUCUUAGAAUUUUAAUCUGAACAGAUCUAUGGCAUCUUCAAGGAAGACUUCUGGUACUCCAAAAACCUGUUCUAUCCCAGUGUUGGACUCCUCUUCUGAUUUUUCAGGUAUAAUGACUGACGAUUUGUUAAUGUUUACUAACAAAUUUAGCAUCAUUUUUCAGUUAUACUUUAUGUUCGCUGAAGUCAACUUUUUGGUGGGUUUUCAUCGGUUAUAUCUGGUUAAACUCCUUGUAAAGGCUCUUUCCCGUUCCAUCACUUCGUCCCUACUUUAGAUAAGACUAUACUAUUCAUCUCAUGUUUAGACCGAGAUAUCUAUUACCGAUGUUGCACUGUUAUCCUGAAGUUACUUACAUUAUUAUUAUUUUUUUUGUAUGAUUAUACUAUUAGACAUUAUUAUUAGAAUUAAAAAAAGACUACAUAAUAACAUGUGGUGAUGAUCCUCGAACCCUUUGUAUUUUUGAAUUAAUCAUAUCAGUGUCUUAUGUUGAUAUGUUGUUGAUGAGAUUCGAAUCUUUAGACCAUUGGUACUAGUUUAGAUAUCGGAAUAAAGAACUUUGUUUUAGUACCAUAUCAUGGUACUCGUCUAUUUAGUUUGAAAUAUUUAAUUGUUGUUAUUCUCUUAUAGUUAAUGUGUUAAUUAACCAACCAAACGAAAAACUACUAAGACAUACCCCUGUUCGCUUAUAAUAGUAUAGCAUGGAUAAAUAGGAAGUAUCAAUAUGUUACUUUAUUAUUAUGGUUGUACUUCUUUUUUGUUAGUAGUAGUAAUUUUUGUAAUCGGCAGUUAUCUUAUUAUUUUAAUAUUUAUGGAGUUGGGAUAGAAUUAAACAUGUAGAAGGAAAGGAAGAUGGUAAUAUAGUUUUAGAAGAACUUGAAAGCAUACUAACAUCAGGUGUAAUGCAAAAUUUUAGGUGAGUUGGAUGAGGAUCGUGAGGAAUUAUUAUUUGCUGCAGAGUUUGCUCAGAACGCCAGCUGUAUGCAUCUGCCCCGUGGCUUAUUUUCAUUUUUGUUCUUUAACUUAUCAGACGAUAUGAUCAUAUUGUAUUUUUUCUGAAUAAGUCCUACACUACCAAGAAUGGUGACGCUUUUUCUUUUCUUUUUUGCAGACCGCGCUUGUUCUGACUCGUUUUGGAAGAAACUGGAAUGUUAUUUUGCGCCUGUUACUUCACAAAAUGAGUCAUAUUUGAAGCACCAGGUAACGACGGAGGUCAAAUAUAGUUCUGCCGUAUUAAACUUGUGCUUAGGAGUUCAUGAAGAAUAGAUAUGUUAUUUAAAACUGUUUCAUGUCUUAUAUUCAACAGCUGGAUUUAGCUGAUGCAAUCGGUGGGAGUUUAUACCAGAUCGCUGAAGGUGAAGAUUAUAAAGCUCCUACUUUGUUGCAAAGACUCAUCUCUGCUAUAAUUGACAACGAUGAAAGCGAAGGGAUGAGCCAGAAUGGAGACAAGAUGGAAUCUCCCAUUCCUUCUCCCGAUUGCAACAGUCAUAUGCUGUCUGUGGAGGACAAUAUACGAGUGCAGCUGCAGAGCAUUGAUUUGUGUCCUAAAAUGGUUAUGUACCUCUGUUGUUAUUUGGUGAUGUACAUAUCAACUCUACUGACUAAUCUAAUUCUUCUCUUACUAUUGCAGCAUCCAGAGGGAGAGGAUGCAAUUGAUAAAGAUAUUCGUGAACUUGAAGAGAAAUUAGUUCAGCAGGUUUCUUUCUUUUUAUAAACCCUUAGCGAGAAUAACUAAUAAGUUCAUUUGUGUCCUCUUGGUGCUAUAUCAGAUUAUGUAUGCACCUUGAUAUUCUUUUUUCUUGAUUAUUUAGUCUAUUGUCUGCAUUUUUCCUCUUCCCAGUUUCUUAAACAUUUACAAUAUACAGGCACAGAAGAAGAAACAAUACAUUGCAAAAAUUUAUGAAUCUAUUCAACAUGGAAAGGAUGCGGAGAAAAGGUAUCGUUGCAUUCAACCUUAGUUUGAUUAUGCUCUUAUGGCCUCUUUUACAGAUAAGACAAUUAGGUCUGUCUGCAGGAAUCUGGAACAGGCCGCUAUGAGUAAAUUGAUCGAAAUGGCCUACAAAAGACAAAGGGUAAUAGUAUCUUUUCCAUCUGUUUAUUUAUUUUCUUUUUACUUAUUGCUAUUGGUAACCCAACCAAUAUUGAAUUUUAGGAAUCUUGGCACUAUAUACCAAGAAGCAAAUCCUGUGUCUUUCUAUUUAAACUGUACAUUCUAUGGUUUAUAGAAAUUCCAGUAAUUGCUAUAGAUGCAUACACUACACAUGCACUGAUAAUGUAUCAAAAAGAUGUGCAAGCAUUGGAUGGUCUCUGCCCAUGUGCAGGAGGGUCAUAGUCAUGUUAUACUAUUUGACUCUUAGAAGUUGAUAGAGAAAAGAUCAGCAGGUUGAAAGAAAUGGAACAAUAUAUACACGUCAUUGUACUUACUAAAACUAUGUUCUUGUGUUAAUAAAUUUGGAUGGUGAAAGUCCUGAGAGUUACGGCCUUUGACUUUAUAUCGAAGCCAUGCUUAAUAUUUUCUUUCAAUUUUCUGCCUCUUUUUUUAAAUGGCUAUGGCAACGACCUGCUAUAUCACAGUUGGAUGCAGUGAAACCCUAUAAGCAAGAUCUAAAAUCGGUUUCAUUCUGCUAUUUAUCAUGAUAGUUUCAGAAGUAUGAAAUUUUGUAGACACUAAUGAUUUUCUAUGAGCCAGUCUAUAUUCUGAGAGCUUUAAAUAUUAAACAUAUGUACUAUCAUGUUGUGGUAGACUGUGUUUUGACUGGCACUCAUAUUCCAUGGGUUUUCUUGUUACACUUGAUUAACAGAGUAAACUAUACUAUUAGUAACAAUGAAAACAUUAUCUUAACCUUAAUAAGAAUUAUACAUCACCCCUUGAACUUCUAGAACAUUUGGACUUAUUAAACGGUUACCUAUUUUCCACUUCAUAGCAUAUAAUAUAAUCAAUCGUAGUUAGUUAGUUUUGUUAUGUUGUGUGGAUGGGAGAAAUCAUUACUCUGGAUGGGAAUAAAUAUUAUUAACUUACGCUUUAAAUCUAUGAUUACGAAGUCGUCCUUCCCUCCCCCUUCCUCACCUCUAUCUCCUCUCUAAUCUUAGGUUUCUCAUGGGAGUCAUUCCUCGAAGAGAGUGGUCCGCAGGGUCAAUAAGCAAGCUGCUUUGCCUUUUGCUGAACGUACUCUCGCCAAAUGCCUAGAGUUUGAAGAAACUGGGAGGAACUGCUUUAGAAGAGCUGCUUCUAGUUCAUCAGUGACUAUUGGGAGCGAUGUUGCAAGGGGAAAUGAGGAGCUGCACAAUGUAGGAAAGAAUCCUGUGAACCCUUCAACAAAACAACCAACUGAAUCUGUUUCAUUUGAGCGCAGAGACUCUGCUUCUCUAAUGGACUUGGACGAAGGUGGUAUGCAAGACCACGACUGGGAAGGUCUUGCCGUACCAAUGGAUAACCUCUCAGAUGUCCAUUUUGAUUUCUGGUUUUAAAACACCAAAUAGCAAACUGUCUAGUUUAAGGUUAUACGCUUAAUCUUUGUUUACAUUUACAGCAUGACCUGCUCCAUUACAUGUUGGAAGAGCAUGAGGUUGUUUUGUUUUCAUAUCUUGUUACUAGUAUUUCCGGGUAUGUUCAUUUUGGACGAAGUUAAUUUUGUCCUAAAUUCUAUGAUUUUGCCAGAAGUAUGAUUUCUUUAAUCUUUUGGUCGGCUUAAAUGAUGCAAUGUUAUAAUUGUUGGAUGCUAUUCAUUCUGUUCUAAAUAAAUUGUUCUUUACAAAUUGUUAGAUGCGAGAGUGGGGAUAUAUUUUAAUACCAUGAAUAAGAGCUUGCUCACUUGAAGCAACCCCCAUGUACUUGCUCCAAAUUGAAAAUUUUAAACUGUUUUAUUAUUAUUAUUAUUAUUUUUUUUCAUCUAUUACUGUGACAAAUUACUCAUUCUCUUUGCUUGGAGGUUCUGUUAAUUAACACCUUUAGACUGUAGGUAGAUUUCCCGAUUGAUGAGACCCUUGUCCUGUUGCAGUAUAUAAAUCAUAUAGAACUUGUAUAUCUAAAAACUUAAGCUUAAUUGGCUAAUUUCUUGAUGUUUUGGUUCUGUCUAAUACUAAUUUAUUAUGCAGAAUGCAAAUAAGUAAUAAUGGUCAGCUGUGCUUUCACUUUCACAAUCAUCCGAGUCAAAUCAAAUAGUUCAGAUCAAAUUUGAAAUCAUGGUCUACUUGAAAUUAACCUCCUAUUCCACAUAAAAUUGAUUAUCAUUGAAUUUGGUCAAAUUUUUUUUAUGGAGUCAAAUUUGAUUUUAAAAACAAGUAUACUCAAAUGAUUUUAAAACUGAAAAAAUCGGAAAUCGAAACUAAUCCAGUAAAAUCACCACAAGAUUAUAACCAACUUAUCUAAGAUAAUAUCCAUUGAUCAUAGUGCUGGUAAUUCCCAUUUACAUCAUAAGCUUCUAAAUAAUUUGAUGAUACAAUUUUAGCCAACAAUUGUCCAUCAAAAACUACCAUAUUGAUUCUGAGAUGAUUGCAUCAUAUGCAUGUCAGUGAUCGGUUGGCAAGAAUUUUCUUCACUCAUCAUGCUCCUGAUAACAAUAUGACAGUAACAUAUAGUCAGUGACAGCAACCGGGACGACAAUGAGAUAAACUCGAUACGAUUAAAAUAAACUAAAUUCGAAGUAAUUUUUACUCACUCUCGUGGCCGCGAAGCCCAGAGGGAACUCAGAGCUCGUAAUCUGGCAUAGUAUUCUCCGAUGAUCAGAAAGCAUCUUGCUGCUUGACGAACAGUGAGUAUCCGCCGCAGUUGGUGAAGUGUCUGUUGCCUCAGAUUGUCAGCCUGCAAUGUCGAAAUCAAAAGCCAACUAAUAAUAAACAAAAUAUAUUCAAUUCAAGAGGAAACAGAAUUGGAGUAUAAAGAAGUCAUGAUGUUCAACUAGAGCACAGGCACUGUCAAUGCGCAUGCUAACGUUACAUAUUAAAUGUGUGUUGAAACUAUUGAAAUUGUCUUUUCUACGAGAUUUGUACUAAUAUAAUCACCGAAUCAAUAAUAAUUUGACGCAACUACAUGAAUUAGCAGUAUAAUAUUGUGUCUGAUAGCUCUGGCAGAGUGGUUUGUGUUUCACUAUCAGCACACCGUUGAGAAUUAAUACACAGGAGAAUCCAAAACCCACAUUAUCUUUCAUUAGAUUAAGCGGAGUAUAAUGUUACUAAAAUAUCAUGCGAUUGAACUCAAACAUAUUUGAAAUUAUCCGAAGAGUAAACUACUAUAAUGCAAAGUUGAGAGGUACAGCAUACUAGAUCCUUCUAAUGUUGAUAUGUGCAAUGAUUUCUGUUAAGCAUAGUCGUUUCAAUAGAAAAAGGUAUCGUUGAUGAUGUUCCCUAAUCAGUAGAUACAUUUCACUAGAGGGAAGAAGUCAUCUGAAAUUCUGUUAAAAAAAAUGAUGCAAGUAGAAGACUGCAGGAAAAGUCUGACAAGAACUAUUGCAGAUACAUCAAAAUUUUAUUUAAUUUUUAGCAUUGUUCUAAGGAUUUGGCACGUUUGUAUUUCUUUUUGAGUUGGUUUGUAUAUCGACAUAGGUAGAGAAAAAUUAUUAUCCUAAUUCUAGAUGUAACAGCUAAAAUGUGAGAUUAGGAGAACUGGAAAAGAAAGCACCAUUGUGAUUCAUGCAACUUUAUAGAAUCUAUAUGUCAUCUUACUUUUCUGCACCUUUAUAUAAUGGCAUACCUGUGUGGUAUGUAUUAUUUUCCUUUUAAUGAAGAUGAAGUAAUAAACAUUAUCUUGGCUACUUAUAAAAAUAUGAUAGCACUUACUGUAUUUCUUUUCUUUUCUUUUUUUCUUUAUCCCACAACACACCUUAUGAACAUAUGCCAAAAGUAAAGAUGUAGUGAAAGUAAAGAUGUAGUAUGAGACAUCAAAACGGACAAGAUUUUUAUCCUUAUACUUUUCCUUUUGAUCUAAGUCUAUAUUUUAUUUAGGCAUAUACGGAAUUUGGCAGUAGGAUGCUAGGAUAGCUUAACAGUAUAGAAGCGAUAGAAAGCUCCCUUAACACAGCAGUGACACUAUGUGUAAAGCUAAGCUUCCUUUAUGUAAAGAAUAUGCGGUUCAUCUAAAUACUAAAGGCAUAAAGCAUAAAACUCCAAGAAGUUGCUGUAUUAUUGAUUAGAAGGAAAAGAUUUAUCAUGACACCUGCCUAGCCUAUUAAAAGGUUUUGCCUAAUACUCGCAACUUACACUUGACUAGUUUUAUGUCAGCAGUAUAUAUGCGAAGAGGAUUUAUAUCUGAAUAGAAAAAUGAGUAUACCUGACGCACAAAACCUUCAAGGUUAGUUAGCUUGCCAAGAGCUACAGCCAUAUGAUGCAUUCCAUCAUUUAUUGAUCCAUUUGCUAUUGUAUCAAUAAGGGAUUGUUGUAACUGUUCUAGACCUUGGGACAGAGCUUCCUCUGCCUGCUGCGAGGAAUGUUGGAGACUGUAUAUUCCCACGAGUUGCUGCUCAGUUAAUGGAUCCAUUUGCGCUAUCAAUGUCUGAACAAAAACAAUUUAUAAUCACUUAGUAUUUGAGAAUAUAUAUAUUCAUGUUUAGAGAAUGUAGCUUAGGCAGCGCAACUACAAUGUUGUAUAAUUGUCAUGGAAGAUGAGAGAUGGACCGGAAGUGAUAUUAUAAUAUCGCCAUGCUGAAAACUAAUUGAAAACCUGACAAUGUUACAGAUUACUUUAAAAGCCUAACCUUGAUUAGUUCGGAGGGACGAAAACCUCCCAUCCACAAGAAGCAACGCUCAGCUGGAGUAGUCCACAAUCCAGUAAUAAGGUGGAAGACAUCUGAUUUUGCUGCCACUCCUUUUAGACGGAAAAUUUCAUCAUAAUGUGCAAUAUGUCCAUCUACUAUUACUCGAAGAUCACCAUCUGAUAAAUGUGCCUGCAAUCCAGUUCGGAGUUCUGCCAUAUGUCUGUGAUCAUCAUCCAACCAUCGUGCAUAUUCCAUAUCAAACAAUGCAGCACCUUGAGAAGAUAAUUAAGAGUGUUUAAAUUGGUUAGUACCUAUGACAGCCUCCUCUUCUUUUUAUGUGUUAAAUAAUAUUUUGUUAUUAAAGUAAAUUACCAGACUCGAUAACUUCUUUUAUCUGCUUUGUGUGCAAGGAAACACUUAUGUUGCACAUAUUUUAUUUGUACUACAUGUAGACUAAUUAUAUGAUCAUGUUUGUUUGUGUAACUUAAACGAUUAGUAUUAAUAUAAACGGUUUCUGUAACUUUCUAUAACUUGUGUGCGUGUGUGUGUGUGUGUGUGAAGAAAAGGGGGGAACAAAAAGCAUGAUCGGCAAAUAGCUUGAAUUGGAUAGGUAGACUUUGCAAAAAAAUUUAAAGUAUGUUUUUUGAGAAAACAUUUGUAGAAGAAAGGGCCUCCACAGUUUUUAAGUGAAAUAAAGAAAAAGUUGUGAAUAUGGCAACCUUACCUUUCCAUUCACAUAGUUGCUCUUUAAGAAACAUAAAAAGUGACAUUUGUGGUAAUCCCACUAUCCAGGUAUAGUAAUUAACUCACCUGGGCUCAUGCUUGAUCCAGCAUUGCCACCACUACCACCUCCCAGAAACAAACCCUGUUGACCAAAACUAUAAAUAACAUUAUUAUAUAUUUUAAAAUUUUAUAAGAAAUUAUCCUUUGAAAUAAAAUUGUACUGAUUUAUAAUGAUGACAUUAUAGACCUGAGAUCGAGCUCUUUGAAGGUCUUGCUCCAGCUGUGAUAACCUUAUCCUACUGGUUUCCAGCUGUUGCACAUAUGCCUGCGCAAAUAGAUCACAUUUCUGGGCUCAAGAUUGAAAUUCUAAGGAGCAUAAAAAACACGAAAAUAACAAGAAGCAAAUUUAGCAGACAUGUUACCUUUUUUCUGAGUCUGCUUUUUCUUGCUGCUUCUCUGUUUUGAGCUAAUCGUCUUAGCGUCUGAAAACAUAUACAUCAGCAGAUUAAGCUUUAUAGCGAUGAAUCUUAUAAUAAAACUUCAAAGUUCUUGUAAGACCAAAAGAGGGUGAAAAUUUUCAGAUUUGAUCAACCUUAGGAUCAAGCACUCUAUCUGAGGUUGCACCUGGUCCUCUUCUCUGCAAAAUUCAUGAAACAACAAAAUGGUAAGAGCUGAUAUUUAUUCUAUAUUCGGAGUCAGUUUAUGUACAUAAUAUGAUCAAACAGAGCUCACACACUGUACAAGAAUAUCUGGCAUUUUUUAUGCUGAUAUGAGAAACAGUUUCUAUAUUGGCUAGCCAUAUGUUUCAGUUCCAUGCAAGUAGUUAUCUUUCUUUUCAAGAUAAUUUAAAGCUUAUGAAAGCUUAGAAAAUAUAAGAAGCAUACAUCUACAAACUGUAUCUACAGUUUUGGAAUCAGUAAAGGAAGUCAUUAUAAUAUUAGUAAGUUAUAGAAUUAUGGUGAAUUCUCUCUCCUAUAGCCCAUAACUUGUCAGGCAACAUCAUAUCAGAAAAUCCCUAACACAUCAGAGAAUCUUUCCUUGAUGAUUCUUAGAAGGUUUUGUUGUGAUUUCACCUUACAUCUAAAAAGACAGAUAUAAAAAUAGAGAGCUAGAACAAAAGAUACCUCCGUUUUCCUACAUUCUUGGGAAAAAGUAAGAGAUAUGGGAAAAAUUUACCACCUUUUCAAGAAUGGUAUUUGAAGAUGGUUGAGUUUGCGAAGGUCCCGAUGAUGAUCUUGGACUAUCACCUGCCAUCUCUACAGCCUGUAGCUGCUGCUGCUGGUGGUUGUGGUGAUUUUCUUGUGGGAACUGAAGAUGGUUAUGGUCAAAAGCCUGUUGAUGAUCACAAGAUAGUUUUGUACUAACUGGAGAUUCUGGUUCCAAAUGGCCCCCAGCUUUACUUGAAAGUGUAUUAACUGCUAAUCCUGAAUCAGUACUCUCUCCUCCUGACCUUGAACUCCCCUAUAUAUAAAACAAACAAACAACCCAUGAAUAAAAUGAUUCCAAAAGGGUACCUGCACUAAAUCCACAAAAGUACCCUUUCCUAUCAAAGAAAAAUGAAUAUAAAUCUCAAAACCACAACACAAACAAAGAGGAUACAGAAGAGAGAGUAUUCUGAGAAGUACUUAUAUUGUGGUCCUUGUAAGAUUUUGGAGUUCAAAGUUGUUUACAUGAAGAGAGGAAAAAAGGCCACACACAAGUUAAAAAUAUAAAGGUCAAAGAUAGGAGUAAUGGAGAUUUUAAACUACCCCAGGAGUUUGUUGAAGUUUCAUAGGCCAAGAAGGAAACAUUUCCAAUGUUGCUGCAGGUUUAGCUGUAUAAAAAGCUGCAGAAAAUCACAAAAGCCCACAAAAAAUCUCUAAGAAUCAGCAAGAAUUAAAUAGAAUCUUAAGAAAACUCAAGUAAAAAAUAUAGGCAUCUCCCAAAGGCAAGUAACCUUAUCACUCCAACCCACCUUUUUUCACUUUUUCUUGUUCUGCAGUUAUGGAGUUAGUAAACAUGCAAAGUAGACAAGUUUCCUUAUUUGAAACCUUACACCAUUCAACUCCUUUGCUCAAGAAUGAUUACUAUGUUAAAAUGGCAAAGCCCCAUCUUGGCCUUUAUUACAGAGACACAUUCAAACUUGUAUCUCUAUAGUUUUAGGAGUCAGUUAUACUUGGCAGACGUCAGAGAAAUAAAAGAAAAAAGGAGGGAAAACUAAAGUAAAGAAAGAGCCAUACAUAAUUUAGAAUCAUCAUGAUUAAGCUUUAAGUUUUGUAGCACAAUAGCUUCUUCAAGCUCUCCAAAAUCAAAAGCAGAUCCUUCUUGAUGAUUGCUAAAGAUAAAUUAUAUUCAAAACCCAUGUCAGAAAUCUAUCACCACACAUUUGACAAUGAAAAAAAUUAAAAAAUAUUUCAAGAAACUAAAGAAAUGAACAAGAAUAUGAAGAACAAUACAUGAAGUUUGUAUUCAGAGGAGGAAGGCCAUGGGGAACUGCAUAUGGGAUGUGGUGGUGGUAAUGAUGAAUGUUUGAAGCUCCUGAGUUUGACAAACCAGUAUCUCCAACUCUAUGACUCCCCAUGCAAACAACUCUAUUUCAGACCAUUCUAUCACAGCAAAAAGACAAGGACCUUAAAACCCACAUGUAUAUAUAGGAAAAUCAAACAAGUGGAAGUUUCUUGGGAGAAACAAGGGGAAAAAAUAGUUACCUGCUGGAAUUUCUUUUAGGUAAGCUUCAGUUUUCUGGCAAAGACUCAAGAAAGAUAAAAAACUUCCUUACCAAAGCAUCUCUCUCUCUCUCUCUCUCGCUGUGUGUUUGUGUGUGAAGCCACAGAAAGAUGGUAAAGUCUAUUUCUCAAGCACCUAUCUUUCUUUUGAGGUUGCAACUUUUGAUCUCUCUGGAGGGUCUCUUUCUUUCUAUUGCUCUUCUUCCCUGUGAAGAAACUAUAUAUUAUUAUUAUUGUUUUUUUUUUUUGAGGGGUUGCUUUAGUUAUCCCCUAGUGUACUGAAAAGCAAUUAUGAGAUUUUAAAACUCAUCCCAUGGUCAGAAGAUCUUGUCCUGGCAACAAAAGUUCCCUCAGUCCUUCUGGCCUUUGUGGGGUUUGCAGACAAAACUUGUAAGUAUAUAAUAAUGUAAAACAAAUGUAAAAUAUUUGCAUGGAAGGUGAACAAGUACUAUUUAAUCAAUUAGGCUGGGCCUUUUGCAGGAACCCACUGGAACUACUGACUCCUCUUCCACUCUCCCUUCCCAUCUCCAAACACCUAGUUUGUCUUUGUAUUGGCCCUUUUCCACAGCUCAAGUGAAGUUUACAAGAUGUUUUAAAAAUUUAACUUCAUGCAUGUGAAUGCUAUAUACACAUUUCAUAUUCUUUAACCAUCCAGUAACAACUACUAACAAGUGGGACAACAUUUUUCCACCCAAAGUCCAACAGAAUGAUUUUGAGGGUAAAAACCUGAGAAGAGUUAUGUACUCUUGCUCUUUUGUUACAAUGGCUUGCAUAGUGUAAGAAAUUGGAAUAUCUGGAAAUGAUACUUAUUUUGACCAAACUUUGAUCGUAAAUAAAAAUCUAUUUCUAAUAAUAUUUGAGAACUGAAAAAAUACAUAUCAAAAUAAAUCAAUUGAAUACGCUUUCUAACAGUAUAAUUUUUAAAAUUUGCUAAACUAUAUAAUACUUAAAUUGUGGGUUAUUUUAAAAUUAAAGACUAGUAUUUUAAGACGGGGAGUAAAUAUUUGGAUUUAGAAAUUAUAUUAUAUUAUAUUGUAAAUGGACCAUAUUUAGAUACAAGAAACAGAUAUGAAGAAGCAGCCUGUGCUAGCCACUCUGAACUUUCAUACAGUAUAAGAUAACUAACAAAGAUUUUAAUAAACUCCUAUAACCAAAACACACAUACAUAAUUAUAUCUAAUCCAAGGAUUAGAGGUGGAUUAGUUUGGUAUUAUCCUCUUUGUUGAUGGGUCAACAUCCAUUUUCUGUCAUUUGCUCAAAGCCAUGCAUGCCUCAUGAAGAUUCCUUUCCAUUAACAGAAACUCAGCCUCUCUGUACAACUCCACAGUCUAGUGGAUUUAGCUGCAAUUAUACCCUCAUUAGGUAAAGCUUAUCUCCAAAUCACCUCCCAAUAAACUGCCCCUAUAAUUCAUUAACCGAAAGGUAUAUACAGAUUUUAAAUCCAUAUUGAUAAUUAACCAUAAUUAAAUAUUUUAAACUAAUAGAUUGAAUUAGAGAGUGGUGGGCUAAAAGUGGUGGUUGCUUCUAAGUGCAUAUUAGGGAGAGGGUAAUGGACUAAUCACUAAUGGGACCAAAACUAUAUAAUGUUCUCUAGUAAUAUGCCUCUGUACUAAUGAUUGGCCAUGAAAAGUUUUCAUGGUUUAGAUACAUGCAUAAGUAUUUGAUUGCUUUAGUUAUUUUUUAUUUAACCACAUGGGAAAAUUUAUCACAAUGUAAUUUAAGAAGCACAGGAGGAUCUAUGGAUCUUUGUUUCCUCUCAAAAUCUAAUACUAUAUAUUUUGCCUCAUCUUUGUCUAAAGUUGAUUGAUCUAAUUAAUAUUGUUUGUGACUUUGAAAGCUGUAGAUCAGUUUUAGUCAUUGUUUGUCACUUAAGAUUACAACCCAGAUAUAACAUAUGAUUAUACAUGUGUGUUAUAAAAUACAAUUCACAAUGAUGUGGCUUGCAUAUAAUCUUAAGAUUUGGUUCAAAACAGAGCAAUCUAGGUAAGAUUUCUUUUGAAUUGUUUUUACAGAAGAAUAUAGAACCUCAAACCAGUGUGAUUCUGUACACUUCUGUUUCUAAGUUAUAGUAGUAAUUAAUUAUGAAAGAGACAUUAGCAUAGCUAAGGUGUUAUUCUACUGUUGGAUCGAAUACAGAUAUAACUUAGGGAGGCAAUAUUAGACACGAUUCUAGAAGUGACAUGAUCAACCGAAAUGACCCUUUAUUAGAGAUUCGUUCAUUUACCCUUAUGUAUUCAAUUUCAUUUAUUUUAAGUCAUAUUAGAUUGACUAGAAAUCGACCUGUUUUCAAACAUGAACAUCAUCCGAACCUGAAAGGGUCACCCCCUAGUGCCACUUUCUGAAUAUUAACCACAAUUUCAAUUAUAUGAUAAAGAGUUCGAUAUGUUAUAAACUCUGGAACAUUAUGUAGAGGCUGAAACUGACCUCCCAUCAUGAUUAUUCAUGAUUGUUGAAAAUUUGAGAACUGUAAUCAUAUCUGUACUGUUUGUAAAGUACUCAGGUCCUUUUUCUGGUCAUCACCAAUUCAGCAUGUAGUCUAACAAUGUAGUACUCUGGUAAGAUGAUACUGAUAUUUUUACUUUUCAGCCUUCUCAAAUCAAAUAUCUCAUACUAAUUUUAAUAUUUAGUGACAGAAAAGUUGCCAAUAAACUCAGUUCCCACUAUUGAUUAGUUUAUACUUGCUAUAACAUAAACUAAUUAUCUCCAGGCAGUGUUCAUGCAUACAGAUGUAUUUAUUCUUUGAUUAGGUGGUAAUAUUUAAAACACUCUAAAUCUUAGCCCUCUUGUCCUCAUGCAUCUUAACCAGGAGACAUAAUAAUAAUCAGCACUAAUUUAAUCAUAAUUUUCUUUUGGAAUGUUCACAUCUGUAUAAAGAAUGUAAGCUCAGCCAAGGCUUGCAGAGUCUAGGAUGCUGCAUUAAUGCUAUAUUAAUCCAUUUCUUAUCAUGAUUCAAGAAUCAAGAUAAAGGUCAUCUUAACAUCAACAGCCUUUAGGCAUUGCAUGAACAAAGAAGAAGACAAAGCCAGCUGCUUUGGUCUUGUAAUGUCCUUUGUCAAUAUUUUGUGGCUUUUAUCUCCAAUAUCUACUUGAUACUUUAAUUACAUAUUUAAAAGAGAGAAACGAAAUUAGAUACACCCACUAAACUUUUUUGGGUAUUUUAAUACAACUUUGUUGUUUUGCCUGUGAAUGAGUGUUUUAAUCACCACUUAAUACUUAAUCCCCUAUAUUAUUAUAACAGUAAUGAUAUGUAUGUAAGCUUGACUCCAAUAUAUAUAAUACGAGGUUCAGGUCCAGGGAUGGGCUAAACCCGCAUAUCAUUUAUAGGCUGUUGGAUGAAUAUCCAGCGACCCAGAUUAUAACAACUUUUUUUAUAUGUCCAUCGCUUUUUAACCGCUGGACGCCUCGUCCUACGGUUAAAAAGCUUUAGAUAUAUUAAAUUUAUGUUAUAAUUUGUUCUGUUUGAAUAUUCAUCCAACGUCAUCCAACCGCCCGUAAAUGAUAUAUGGGUUAAGAGCGUUCCUGGCAGUCAACUGCCAAGAACUUGCACCCAUUUAAUACACAUAUAAUUGAUAAAGUUGAUGGUAAAGGCCAAAGGGUCUGUAAUCUUCCCAUUUUAAAUAUUUUUAAGUUUAGAUUUCAUUUUAACAACUCUGAUAGCCUUUUCACAAGGCACAACUUUUGUUCUGGCUGCAAUUCAUUUUUUGACAUAGCUGCUUUUCUAAACAUGCCCCAAAUUUCUUUCUUUUUUUAAAAGAUUUUUUUAUUUUAGUAUAAACUCAAACUAUCAUCCCUAACAUCCCUAAAUUAUUAGGGAUUCGAGUUGCAUAAAUUUAUUCAAUUAAACGAAUAUAUAUGAAACGAGAUGAUUCAGAAGAGGAUCAUAUGGGCCAGUCAUAUCCUGCAAGCAGCUACUGAUCAAAUAUGGGUACUAUAUGAUUAACCAGAAAGCCAUAAAGAACAAGAACAACACAAUUAUAAUGAUCGUCGACACAAGAAGCAACUGAGAAAAAAAUAUUUGCCUCACAUUGUAGCCAGUAGCGGAUCCAGCUCCGAAAUUAAGGAGGGUUGUAUAUAAUAUUUUGUAAUGAUUAAUUGGAAUAAACAAAUGGAAAAAAUAAUAUUCAUAUUAUAUAAUUCUUUACCGUUCAUUUAUACUAUAUACUAUACUAUAAUAAGCCAACAUGGAUAUAAUUUGUCGUCGUACAAAAUUUUGGUUUGGUCAUGUUGGUUUGGUGAUUCAUUUUAUAACUAAAAGUCUGAUACACUUACAGGGGUGUAUUGGAUUGGGAAUUUAAAGCAUUUUUUUGCAUUCAUGAAAUCCGAGUGUAUUCGAUUGAGAUUGUUUGAAAUCCAUUAAAAUUUUGAGGUAUUCAAUUGGGAUUUUAAAUUAUGCUUUAAAAUCCGAUGGUAUUCAAUUGGGAUUGUUUAAAAUCCAUUAAAAUCUGAUGGUAUUCAAAUGCUGAUGGAUUUUUUUUCAUUUCAUAAAAUGAUGGAUUUUGUGGCAUUCUUCAGUGUAUUUUAAGUUUUUUGAAAUCCCAUCAAAAUCAAUGGGAUUUUGAAGCAUUGUACCUAAAUAUCAUCAACUCUGCGACAUUUUAUCAAGAAUCCGCACAAAAUUAAAAUCCCAUACAAUCCAUUAAAAUCCAUAGACUAAAAACAAUCCAUUAAAAUCCCAAUCGAAUACACCCCCGUUAGAGUUCUCAUAAUCUUACAUCUCUAAACAGUUUGAUAGUCUUACAUCUCUAAACAAUUUGAUAUACUACAAGAUAAAAACUCCACCAUUAUUCUUUUAAAUAUAAUUUAUACUUAGUUAAAAAAUAAAAAAAAAAGUUUACCAAAAUUUAAGGGGGGUUUAAGGCUAGUAACAUGAAUAAGUCAUGUCAACUUUUAUUAGAAUGUUGGAUACCAAAAUGAUAACACAAAAAACAAAAAAUUAAUAUUCCGAUUAUGUAAUUUUUAACCGUUGCACGACAUUAUGUAAUUACGUAAAAUUAAGGACAAAAAUUUAAGGGGUGUUGACUGACCCCUCUUGCCUCUAUCAAGAUUCGCCUCUGAUUGUAGCAUAGUUCACUUCCUGCUGAUUGCCAGUUGAGGUAUAACUAAAAGCAUAUAUUCCUGAUAAAUAUGAAGCUAGCCAGGACUCCAGCCUAACUAAAUAUGUUAUCAUUAAAUGAAAAUAUGAUGCUUGCGGUUCUAAAUUGCUUAUUUAAAACUUCAUCAGAUUCUUGCAACAGCAUUCCUUGUAAGAUUUAUAGUGUUCUUAUAUCCUUGCUUGAAAAUCAAAAUUUACGGUCUUGAUUGCCUCAAAGACAUGGCACUGAUAAUAAGAAAAAGACAGAGUGCAUAUGUAAUUAUAUACAUAAUUAUAUAUUUUAUAAUAGAUAUAAUUUAUAUAUUAUACUUAAAUAUAUAAAACAAAAAUAAAUAAAUAACCAAAAAUAUUAUUGCGGUUCGGUUCGGUUUCUAUUUGGUUUUUAAAUUUUCGGAAACCAAAACCAAAAUUAAAGUAUUGGUGCGGUUUUUAUUCGGUGCGGUUUUAUUUGGUACGGUUUCAUACGAUUUUCGUGGUUUUUGGUUCGGUUCGGUUUCUGCUCAUCCGUGCGCAUGCAGCCUCUAUCAUAUUGUUGCUGUUGAUUUUGUUAAAUAAUUCUACUUCUUUCUGGCUCAUCUUAUCAUUACGCGUCAAUACAGCUGCGUUGCCCUUCUCAAUGUCUGCCUUCUCACAGUAAUCAGUAUGGAUGUUUACGUGUACACCGCAAGUGCCAAAGCUUUCUAGAGUUAAGGUUAACUAUUCUGUUUCUAAUCCUGGUCUGCGAUAAUAAGCUGUCAAAAAGUCUGAGACAUGCAUAUAAAGAACAUUUUAUCUAGUAGAGUGCAUUUUUGUCUUCUAUAUUGCUCUUUCUUCUCAUAACUAGUUAUUGAAAUAAUCUUUCAGAGUUAUUUCUGUAUCUUUAACAAUGCUAAAUGUUGUAGCUUGUCCUUGUAUGGCAUUGAAAGCAUGGGAGAAAUGUGAAGUAAACAGAGUUAACUGUUGACUAAAAUAUUAUCAAACACUUUAAGAUUUUAGACGAGUAGUUUCUUCACAUGGCAUGAGAGUCCAGUUUUGUUCUCCUCUAUGUUAUUCAAUCAUAUAACUAGAAGGGAGUGUUAAUAUAAUCUAUCUAAGAGCUUCCUUUAAUACCUCAAAGUUUAGAUCCACAGAUUCUUAUAUAUAAAGAAUUUUUGUAGAUAUACAAUCUUAUCAAGUAUAUGAAAUACCAUAUUUUCUUCGAUAAUCCAAAACUGCAACAUGCAAAGCAGUUCUACCCAUCAAACGUUGGUAACUCACCAUUCUCAAAAAAAUAAAAAAAUAGCAAAAUUUAAAGACCUUACAGAUAAACUUAUAUUUAUUGGUACCGAACAUUUUCUCCACAUUUUUAUAAAUCAUAAAACAACAUAUUGUUACUAAAAUAAAACAUAUCAUUCUGAAAUAAUUAUUCCUAUCAUAACAUGUUUUCGAGAAUUUUUUUUAGAAAAAAUCAAAAUAUAAAAUAGGAUUAAAUAAUAUUACACAAAAGACAUUAUAUAUAUAAUAAAUAAUAAAUAACCAGUAAUGUAUAUAUAAAAAUGGGCCAGGCAGUAAUUUGGUAGUUUGGGCCGAACAACAUGUCUCUUUAAUUUUAAAUAAGUAGGCAGCCUGCCCUAGCCCAAACACCCAACCGGCCUAACAUAGUGGGUUUUACAUACUCCAACGUCUCUCUUUUUUCCCACGCCGCUCUUCUCUAAAACCCACUUUGACAUUUCAUCAAACACAGUGAAGACAAGCGAAGAAGCGUAAUCACUGUAAGAUUUCUUCUCUUCUUUGUCUUCGUUGAUUUAUUAUUUUAUCUUGAUUGUAUAAUAUAUUAUAUUGCUCGUUGUGUUCUUUCUAUUUUAAUCCUCUUUCUUUCAUUGCGCUUUGUGAUUACUAACCUCAUAAGUCAUAAUACAUGAAUGUGGCAUAAGAAAAAGUGGGUAUCAAUUAUUUUUUUUAUUUUUGAUUGGCCACUUUGAUUUUUUUGCAUAUACUAAUACUACACGGAUAUAAAAUAUUAAUUGAAUGUACAAUUAAUUGUAAAUUGUACUGUAGAGACCAAAUUCUGAUCUUAGUUUGUAAAAAUUAGUGUGAUACUACACAAAAGCUUUUCGUUAAUAAUGUUGUUAAGACAAUGUAAUUUGUAAAUUGUGAAGUUUUGUUUGGAUACAGCUUAGUUACUUGUAACUCGUGUGUUAUAGGAAAAUAUGGCAUUUGUAGUUGAAAGGGCUAUGAAGCAAGAUGAAGUUUGUUUUUUGAUUGUAUUCAUUGCAUCUUGAGUGUGUGGUUUAUCAUUUGGUAAAGUGUGGAGCCUCGAGUGAAGAACAGAGAGCUACUCGCUUGUUUCUUCUCAUAGUGCUCCAAAAAUUUACUGCCUUGGUAGAAUUGGAUAAUAUUGUCCUAUUAUCUUAUCAAUUCUGUCGAGGCAAAUAUAUUUUUUACAUCUGUUUGGAUAUAGUGGUUGAUUGCCUUGAGAACAUGUUGCUUGAACGAAUUGAAAGAUUUUAAUUUCUUAUUAAAUAAUUUGAUAUCUGGACAGAUUUUUAGAAAAAUUGGGUAUUGAAAAUUAAAAACUGCCUUACAUGACUAUAAACUAUUAAGUAAAUUGUGACAAAAAAAAAUAGUUUGUGAAGUGAAGUUGUGAUCUCAAGGAUGAAGUGAAAAAGUUAUAGUGGAAUCCCGGGUUUUGUGUUGUAGCUUGUGUGAAAUACUCAAUCAACUAGUUUAUCUUCCUAAUUACAUCAACAGCAUAAAAUAAUAUUGAGAAAGGCUAAAAGGAUCAUCCAUAACUUCAUUUAUGCUUAUUUGGAUGUUAUUUGCUUGUGUGUUAUAUCAUAAAAUAUGGCAUCCCUAGUUGAAAGAAAUCUAAAGCGAGAGGUCCUUGAAGUUACUGAUAAUAUGCAAUUCAUCUGUUGAGUGAACUAUUUAUCACAUAUAGUGUGGAGCCUCGAGUGAAGAACAAAGAGCCACUCGCUUGUUUCUUCUCAUAGUGCUCCAAACAUCUACUGCCUUUACAGAAAUGGCUGAUAGCCUGAUAUGGUCCUAUAUCUUGUCAAUUCUGUGAAUGCAAAUAUGCAAAUAUGAUUGUUUAUGUGUAAUAUGUUCUUAUAUUUUAACUUAUUCAAAGUUAGUUUGCAUUUAUUAAAGUUUAUAGGAGAAUGUGGUAGACCUUUGUUUUAUCUUAAAUGAAGGUCUCGUGCAAGCAAAGAAGAUUCUUUUUUUUUUUUUGUAACUUCUGAAAUUUGAUGGUUCCACAGUUCCGUUAAAUAUUUAUGAAGAGCUUUAAAUAUUUAUGAAGAGCUUUACAUUGGGUAAAAGAAAUGUAAAUUAUGAGAUAUUAUAUCUGAUGAAAUGAGCAGUUUUUCUAAAUAAAAUAUAUAAUGUCUUGUAUUCAGAUGCUCAUGUCAACUGUGAGAGUUCCCUCCCAAUGUAUGUUGAGAACUGCUUCUCGGCCUCAAAGCCCACUUAACGUUGCCAAAGGCCCAACUUCCAUUGCAGCAGUAAAGAGCAUCUCCAAAUCCUUUGGCUUGAAAUCUUCAAAUGGUUUCAGAACAUCAGCAAUGACAGUAUACAAGGUUAAGCUGGUUGGACCUGAAGGAGACGAGAAAGAGUUUGAUGCCCCUGAUGAUACUUACAUUCUAGAUGCUGCUGAGGAGGCAGGGAUUGAGCUUCCAUAUUCCUGCAGAGCAGGUGCAUGUUCCACCUGUGCCGGUAAAGUGGUGUCGGGAGCUGUUGACCAGUCAGAUGGAUCCUUUCUCGACGAGAACCAAAUGAAAGAAGGUUAUUUGUUGACCUGUGUCUCGUACCCCACUUGUGAUUCUGUGAUCCAUACCCACAAAGAAAGUGAUCUUUAUUGAGUAGUCUGUAUUAGGGCAUAAGAUAUCUUUUCAUCUGCAAGCAUAGCAAUUUGGUAAUGUUUGAACCAUGUACCAAAAUAAUAUACAUAUAAAAAGAGGAGGCUGCCCUGGCCUUUCGUUAAAUAUUCUAAUUAUCGUGUUUUGCAGUAGCCUUGGUUUAUAUAUAUAUGCUCGUUUUACAUUCUUAUGUUGCCUCAAUAAGGAAAUUGUUUUAACAAGUACAUUUCAUGAAUACUGGCUAUUAGUUUUGAUCCCACUGCAGCUGUGUGUGUUUUUGGUGAGGAUGGAAAUUUUGAAUGUGGUUCCCGUGUCAAGUUCGUGUCCGAUAAAAAUUUGAAGAUUUUUUUCAAGUAAAUUGUGUCAGAUUAUUUGACAAAAAAAUAAAAUAAAAUUCUACGAGAUCAUGUUUAAACAAGUUGUUGCCGAAAGUGUGCAAUACCAAGUCUGUGAAUCUGUGAUCGCAGGCAUAAAAGCCAAAAAAGUUUCCAGAUCGAUCACGGUGGGACUCGAACCCACAAUCUCCCGCUCCGGAGGCGAGCGCCUUAUCCAUUAGGCCACGCGACCUGCUCCUUUUGAUGAUAUGCUCAUCGUUCAAUAUAUAUACUGAAUGUCACAUAAGACGGCCAACCCUAUAAUUAGGGCUGAGCAAACGGUCGGUUCGGUCGAAAACCGAACCGAACCGAAAUAACCGAAAACCGAACUUUCAUAUUUUUUGAAACCGAACCGAACCGUACUUGUUUUUCAAACCGAACCGAACCGAAAUUACUUCGGUUUUUUCGGUUUGGUUCGGUUAAAACCGAACUUUAUAUAUAAAAAAACUCAGACUCAGAAAAUCAAACAAACAAGCUGUAACUCAAAGAUAAACCAACAACUCGGACGCUACUCAGAACGACUCGGUGACCGAGAACGGCGACUCAACUCAAAUCAAAUGGAUGCGGAAACACAGAAGUCAACCUACUGAAUACCAACAAAAGCAACUCGCAAAUCGGAGUUAUUAACAUCACAACAAAAACUCAAAUCGGAUUUCAGCAACUCAAGGAAUGAAUUUAUCAACAAGACUCAACAGCAACACAAACUAUCUACUUGCAAAACAAAGCAGGCUGACUCAGUAAACAAGGCAGACUCGCAACUCGAUAUAAUACUAUGCUGAAUCGUUCUUCAAUCGAAUGUGAAGCUGGUAGCUGGAGAUGAGAAUGGAGGCUAGAGGCGUGAUAAAUGCUAAUUAGGGUUAGAGUUCAGUGGACUCACAAGUCACGGGCUGUAAUAGUAUUAGAUAUUUUUAAGUAUUAUUAUAUAUAUAAAUAUAAAUAAUUUAAAAUCAUAUAUAUAUAAAACUUCGGUUAUUUCGGUUAAACCGAAAUUUUGGUUUCAGAAACCGGACCGAACCGAACUUUUUGUUCGGUUAAAACCGAAAACCGAACUAACCGAAAUUUUCAGAAACUUCAAACCAAACCGGACCGAAUUUAUGCGGUUCGGUUCGGUUAUUUCGGUUCGGUUCGGUUUUGCUCAGCCCUACCUAUAAUCUAACCCAUAUCAAAUAUAUUUGUUACUAUCUCUGUCCCAUUUAAUUGUAUACGUUUCUUUUCAACUGUUCGACACGCAUUUCAAUGCUCUAAUAAAAUAUAGUUCCGUAACUUAUUUUUGAGAUUUUCUUUUUCUGAAUAUAAAUAUAACAUCCAAACAUUAAUUCAGAAAAAGAAAAUUUUAAAAAUAAAUUACACAACAUUUUAAAUUCAGGGGGACGGAGGAAGUAAAUUUUAGUUAUGAAUUUUGGAGGGUUGGAGAUUCUUUCUAGAGGAUAUAAACCCAGCAAGUCUCAAGAAUGACGAGAUUAAUCAAAAGUCUCAUUUUUCAACAAGAGGAUGAUCAUAUUUCAAAACAAAUCAAAUCGAAAGCAACUAUUGAUUGAAUCUACGAACUUACCAACCAUCAAUUUAUGACUUAAGUUAAUAGUAUUAUUUUGUAUAUACUAAAUAUAAUUUCUAUAUGAAUUUCCUAUACUAUGCAGUUCCAUAAAUCAGCUCCACAAAACAAUUUCUGCACAUAUGCAUGAUACAUCUUUAUUAGGUCCGUCUAAAAUUCAAAUCCAACCCGAUUUGAGAUCAUUUUAGCAGACAUGGAUUUAAUUUUGAAAAAAUUGAUAAUAUAUAGAUUAGAUAUGAAUUUAGGAUGAUCGGAUCGGUUUUAAGAUCGAAUUUAUAUAUAAUAACAAAUAAUUUUACUUUAUCCUACUCAUCACAUGAACUCUCACAGACGCAAAAAUUUGCUUUUGUGGCUAAGUUUCGUUAUUGUACUUGUAUUCCAAGAAUCAUUAUACUGCAUAAUUAUUACUGAUAUAUAGAUUUUUAUAAUUUUGUAGUAGGUCAAUUUUCCUAAAAAAUAAAAUAAAUUAAACAGAGCAAAAAUCUGAUACAAAAUAUGUGAUCCUAAUAUAUCCAUAUAUGAGUCUACCUAUAAAAAUUCCGGCACUGAUAAGAUCAGCACCGAAUCCUAUGAAUUAAAUGAAUAUGAAUAUAGAUUUAGGAAUGGAUAUGAAUAUAAAUUUAGGUCGAUCUGAUCCGAACGCGAUCCUUUGAUGGCCUAUAUCAUCUAUCAAAGAUCAAAAUUAAUAUCAACGAACCAGAAUGAUGAGAAUGAAAACUCCAUCUAUUUCCUUUGCUGUAAAAAAAACCCGAAUUAGACAAUAUGAAUGAUGAAAGAUGAGAAAAGUUACAGCCUACUUAUAAAAGUUUAUCUUGAUGAAUCUGUCUUAAUUAAGCAUAAUUAUAUUCCCCACUGAAGCGUUAAAGCAAAGAUCAAAUCUUCUUUUGGCAAUGAGGUUGAUGGCCUUCCAACCAUGGGCUAUCUGUAAUAGUAGUUGUAAUAGUUCAUGAAAACAAUUAUGAGAAAAGAGGUUAGGUUCAUUCAGGCACAGAUGAAUGAUUCUUGUCAUCAGUUGGUGAACAUAUUAGGUUUGGGAAAAUUAAUUUAAAAGUCCCUGAACUAUUAGUGUUUUAUUGUUUAGGUCCUUGAAAUAAAGAUUUCAAUAUCCAAGUCACUUAUGUUUUUCGGUUUUCUUGUUUGAGUCCUUCCGUUAAUUGAGAUUCUCACUUGUCUGUUAGAAUCUCAGUUAACGGAAGGACUCAAACAAGAAAACUGAAAACGUAAGUGAUCCGGAUAUUGGAAUCUUUAUUUAGGGCCCCAGACAAUAAAACACCAAUAGUUCACGGAUAUUUAAAUUAAUUUUCCCUAUUAGAUUUUUCAUAGUUGCGUGGAAAAUAACUUGGUAGAUUUCUUUACUUUAUUACAUCUUUUCUUAUUUUUCAUGGACUGGAAUUUCAUAUAAACAGCAACAGGGAAACUUUUACAUAGUUCUCUGGUGAAUUCUUAUUUAUUUCCCCGGAAGAAAAGGAGACCCAUGUUCAGCAUCAUCAAGUCCACAAGUUUGUUUUAGAUUUAUUGUCAGAUGUUUCCUCAUUAUAUACCAGCAGAGUUAUAUUAGUUAUUGAAACCCAUGUUCCCAGGCCAGGAAGCCCUGUAUAGGACCACCACAGUAUGUAGGUCUCAUUUUCUUGAGUUACCAUCAAGGAUGAUGUAGAGGUAGCCUGUAGUUGAUAACAAAUCUUGACAGUUGGUUUGUAUAUCUUAUCUCUUCUAGGCCUCUAUACAAGGAUUCUCCAAGGAAGAACUAUUAUGACAGACCCCUCUGACUAGAUGAUGUCGAUAGCCACUAGUAAACGUAAACAUCAAGAUAAAAUCUGUCCCAGCAAGAAAUGGUUUUUGCUGGUCAUGUAUGUGAUCCCCACAGGGCCUUGCGGUAGCAUUAAGACUAAACAUUGAUUACAGUCACGACUGAGUUACGAAAGCUAUCCUAAUGUGUAUGAACACUAAGUGGACACAAUCAGACCGCCUACGUGAUCAAGGUGAAUUCUGCUAAGAACAAACCGCACAUUACACAGAAAGUCGGUAUUAGACGUAAAACUGAAACCGACAGCAGAUGAGACCAGGAAUUAGUGGGGCACUCAGCCACCUCAGGCUGAUGAAGCAUCAUCAACUUUUUAAUAAAGAUAUAACUAAAGAAAGCAACAGAUUCAUCAUCUUCUAAUAUAGGCAUAUCUAAGGAAAGACAAAUAUGGGAGCUUUCAAUAUUGGCGGUUUAUAAGAAAAAGCUUAAAUGCCAAAAUGUAUGACACUGAUGGUGGCUACUUUUACGAUGGAAGCAACUUUGGACUUUCGUCUAGUUGGAGGCUGGAGGAAUUUUCUACAAAAUCCAAUUCAAAUACAUAAAUACAACCAGAGAUCAUGAUGGAGAAUACUAUUGUACAUUUUAUUAUAAACGGAGGAGUGUGGACGGAGAAUUAUAUAAUUGAAGUGCGCAAAUGGUAGAUAAGUAUAAUAUUCAAGAAGUAGACUAGGACUUAAUCAACAGAUGAUACAGGUUCUUUGACCACAAGUUCUUAAACUUUUCAAAGUGUUCAAAAAAAAAUUACUGAAUCAACUAUAAUAUUCUUUAUAUGUUUAGAAUCUUACAUUUUCUUAACUUGUAAAUUUAAUCCCAGAAUGUCGUGAUCGUAAUUUUAAUUGAUGGCCUUAAGCCAGAACAACUUUGGACUGCAACUUCUAGCUUCUUUACUAAACUAAAGAUAAAAGGAGCAGCUGACCAGUUCAUGAGGAUAGGUUAAAUCUAAAUCUACCCCUGUUUGGACAUAUAAUAAAUAUGAAUACUGGGCAAAAAAACAAAAGGAAAGGGAACCUCAUUAGUACCUCUAAUAUCUCAGGCAAGUAUAAAUGAAACCUCAAGUCCAUGUUUCCUAGCCUCAAUUUGUACAACACUCUAGCAUUCAAGCCAGAGUAGAAGUGCAACAGAAGCGAGGAGAAAGGUGAUCAGAGACAACUGGGCCUGUAAAUAACGGCAAGUAAUAUAAUUGAAAGCCAAAAAGUAUACCUUGCAGGAAAUUAAAGGUGAUGAGGAGAAAUUUUUGAGCUAAAAUCACUAAAAAAAUUUGUCAAUGUUUACAAGAAAGUUGAGAACAAGAUCCUUAACCGAUUGCAAGUACAUUUGACAGAAAUGAACACCAGAGGAGGGAUAAAACUAAAAACAACAAUGUGUUGCUUACGUUCUUAUGAGAAGCUGAAUAAUCAAUACGCGGAUAACCACUACCGGGAUCAUUACCCACAUUACUCUGUAGCCCUAUGUCAUACACAGGACUAACAUUAGGAUAAUAGAGCCCGUAGUUCCUUUCCGAUACCGGUCCAGGCUUUAAGUUCUCAUUGAAAAGUGCAAAGACAUAAACAUCAAUUGGUACUGAUGGUCUAGCUGGAGUCCCUUGUCUUUCUGCAAUUCUUUGCAUCAAAUUUCUAUUAUAUAUCCCGGCAUUUUCAACUGAAGCUCCUACCUCAUCAGCAUCCCCCUUAGAAGGCCACCCCGUCUCAGAAAUUUGAACUGGUAUGUCUGUAUGACCCAUUGCUUUCAUUGCUGCAUAAACGGCAUCAAUUUGUGCAUAUAACAUGUUAUCAUAUUUAAGAUUUGUGCCAGGAUCCUUCAUCCCAUCAUUAGGCUGGAAUAGAACGUAAUCAAGAGAAAUGUGGUCUGGAUCGUCUUUGUAUGCAAAAAAGGGAUAUGCAUUAAUAAGAAAUGGCGAAUUGGUCUGCGAAUGAAAUGCAAGAAUUGGCUGCAUAUAUUGAGCAAGAUCUUCACGGAAGGUCCCUGAGGAUGGCGGGAAGGAAUUACCCAAGAUUUGAAAUGAAUGAGCUGUUGUUACUAAUACCUUUUUGUUCAGGCCAAGAUUACCAAGUGCCUUAUACACUGAUUGCAUGGCAGGUGCAAGGUAAGAUUUCAACUGAUUGUCCUCUCCUGAUAACACCUCAUUCCCGACGAAAAUGCAAGAAAUCGUCGUCUGGCUAAGGUGUGGUUGAACAUUUUCUUGAAUCCAAUUUUGGGCUUUCACAGGGUCACCCAUAGCUUGAAGGUCUUGAUUCCCAAGUCCAAUAAUGAAUUCAACAUUCGAAUUCGAAAAAGCAGACAACACCUUUGGGUCAGCAUCAUAAAGCUUCACUCUACUUAUGUUGAGAGACUUAAGCAGAGAGGAAACCCUCGAGGGAGGAGGAAGAUUGUCUGCAAUCUGACCAUAGUUAACUCCAACUCCAAUACCAUGAAUCCCAAUAAAUAAAUCUGAAAUCAGGUUCAAAAGAAACCACCAUUAGGACUUUAUCAGCAAAAGAAAGCAUCAAAACAUCAAAAUCAAAUAUUCAGCACAUUUAAGACCUGAAAGCAAUCUCAAUAUACAACCAAGUAGAAUUACACAGUCCAAAAUUUUCAACACAGUUUUGUUGAAAAAGAAAAAGAGAUGCCCACAUCAUGAAAGUGGAAGUCACAUCAAUAGAGAAUCAAUGACAGCUAUAUUCAUUACAAAUCAAGUAAACCUUUAGUUCCAUACAAUCUAACAACUUAAAUCAUUAAAUUUUUUUAAUGACACCUCAAUAAAUUCCCACAAAAACAAGAAUAAGAAGCUACUUGCUGAAUUUAGCAGAAGGCAGAAUAUACAGGAAGCCAUAAAUGAUACACACAAAACUGAAUAUAGUAAAUAAACUUGGCAAUUCUUUUCCAAAUUGAGCAAAAGAACCAAAACCAAUAAGAAAUAACACAUAAACUCACUCAAGAAUCAACAAAAUAUUUACAAGAAUCACUUCAAAUUAUAAACCCACAAUUCUAUACAUUGAUCAAACAACUCCCAACUAGUUCACAACAAAUCUUUACCAAAAAGGCGGUGGGGGGGGGCGAGAGAGAGAGAGAUAUGGUAAAAACACAGUCUUGAUCAGCCAAAUCAAGAAACAAGCCAAACUCCAGCAGAAGAAAACACACAGAAUUCACACAAAUCAACUCAUCAUUCAUUCCCAAAUCAAAAACCCACAAUCUCGAUAUAUUUAAACAAGUAAAAACAAAAGGAGACAAGGGUAGAAAGAAAGAGAAAAGAUUAAGUGGAACCUGAGAAAGAAAAGAGUUGAAGCAGAAGAAUAAGAGCCUUGAAAACGAUGGUCAUUCUAUUUUAUCUUUCUUGAAACUCCCUUUGCACCCUUUUUUAUUUAAGCACUCCUUUGCAUAUAAUUUUGUGCAAAAGUGUAUUGCAGUAAUAUACAAAGAGCUUUGUUUAGUACAUGUGAAUGUGUUGUGCUUAUAUAGAGUGAGAUAUGAAAUGAGGGGUCUACAGGUGAUAUUUCUGUGAUGUGGUUUCACAUGACUUGUUUGGUGUCCCCAUUCUACCCCUGCCCGCUUCCCAAUGUUGAUAUUACCGACAUACCACUUUCCUUCUGCGAACCUGCAGACGUACCUAAAUAUUGCAGAUUUAUUUUGGGUACAAGUAUUUAAUAAUUUAUUUAUUACGUGAUGGUAAUACUGUUUAUUAAGAAAUCUGGAGAUUAAAUACCGGAUUCUCCAUUGUAUAUUUGUUUAGACUAUUUUAUUAUCGUUGAGAGAGAUAUAUGUAGAUAAUAUUGUUUGGUUUUUAGUUUUGUAUACAAUAGUAAUAAGUUCUAUGUUUUAUAUACAUGAAUAAAAAUGUUGUUGUACAAAUGUUACGAAUGGAGUAUAAUAAUUUAAAUUUUAAAAUUUUGACGAAUGUUACAAAGUUAUAACAUAUGAUUUAUAAAUGAUAAAUACAAAUUUUAGUUGUUUCACAAUUAGCGGUUUGACCUCUGUAAGAGAUUAUAAAUUAUGUAACAUAUAGACAGACGAUUGAAUAUGAAACUGAAACUAAAUUGUUAAAAUAUUAAAAAUUUAAUUAUAUGUAAGGAAUUAUACAAUUCGAAACUGAAAUAAAUAAUAGUCGUUAAAACCUGAAACGUAUAAAUUGAACUAUAUUUAAAUUGAAUUAGAUAAUUUGAUCUAGUCAUGGGUGAUCGAAAAAUUCCGAGUCAAUUUGAUUAUUAAUACAUUUAUAGUAAACUAUUAUAAACUAUGAUAAGUAAAGUAUAGUUUGUAGUUUGAGAUUAGACGUGGCAAAAUAUGGUUUCGGUUUGGUUUUGGUUCUUAUAAAAUAGAUUUAGUUUGGAGAAAUGAACCAAAACUAUUUUCAAAGCAUAUAUUAAUAAAUGUGGUUAUGAGUUUAGUUUAAAUUAUGGGUAACUAGUUUAGUAGGCAAAAAUAAAAAUUAUUUAAUGAACAAAAAUUAAUACACUCAAGUACUCAAGUGACAAUAUAAUGAAUACUAAAUAUAACAAAUAUAACAAAUAUAACAAUAGUGUGUGUGAGUGUGUGAGUUGAUGUAGUGGUUUUAGCUUUUGGCUUCUCCAAGUAAGGUCAUGAGUCCGAAUCAUUGAAUGUGUAUGUAGUAACUUGCAAAAAAAAAAAGAAAGAAAAGAAAAAGAACGUGUGUGGAGAGUGAAAUGUGAGACUAGAAAUCAAACCAGAUCCUUUUUUCUAAAUGUGAUUUCAAAUGGAUCCAAAUCCACAAUUUUGGUUUGGAUUGGUUUAAUAGUUUUGCAACCAUAUUGCCACCUCUGUUUGGGACACUACCUUAAUUUUUUUAACAUCCCUUCAACUGAACAGUCGUUAAGAAAAUUAAAUAAAACAAUGAAACAAUCAUCUCUAGGUGAACCGUACCCAUAAUUUAUUGCAUUUAUCAGAACACAUGAUUAAAAUCCCAUUUACAAAUUUCGAGGCUUGUCUGUAACUGCGACCUAAGAAUGUCACUGUAAAGAAUUAGGCGACGACCAGAGGCGGCAGCUGCCUUGUAAGCAAGUUGGACUUGUAUUCUUUUUUUAGCUAAAUACGCUGGUCUUCUAUUCUAGGAGUGGGCAUGCGUUUGGCAACGCGCUUUUAUUUGUUUAUCCAUUCCCAACUUCGAUUAAAUUUACUGCAGUUUCUCAUCAUAUACUACAUAUCUCUCGUCAUUAAUAAAACAACUUAAAUUUUACAUUUUAUUAUUGUAAAACCAGAUUUUAUACAAAAACUCUCUUAAGAACUACCCCGUACCUUUAGACGAUAAUAGUUAAUGGACAUAUUUGACUAUCAUUAACUAUGAGUAGUUUUCUAAUUUUUAAACUAAAAUCAACUUGUUUAUAUAUAUGUAUAUAUUAUAAGUAAAAUCUGAGAAUUUGACGUCUUAAUUUUUUCGGUGAUUUUAUUUUGUUUUUUAAUUAAUUUCAUGAAUAUAUAUGAUAAUAUUUAUGAAUUUUUUAGAUAUGUUAUUAUUACUAUUAGUAUAUUUUACACAUAACAAAUUAUUUACUUAUGGCUAAUAUUUGUUAAACAAUGAAAAGAUUUAUUAUUACUAUUAGUAUAUUUUACACAUAACAAAUUAUUUACUUAUGGCUAAUAUUUGUUAAACAAUGAAAAGAUUUAUUAUUACUAUUAGUAUAUUUUACACAUAACAAAUUAUUUACUUAUGGCUAAUAUUUGUUAAACAAUGAAAAGAUUUAAUAUUAAAAAAUUACAUUUUCCUUAUAAACAAGUCUAAUUAUUAAAAAAGAACCUCAUAGCACCUGCAUAAUUUAAACAUAGCUCAUGUCAACCGUUGGUUUUGAAGAAAGGGUGAUAAGCUUGUUUUUAUUAAUGUAAAAGCAAAAUUAUAUCAUCUAGCUCUUUUGUAAAGGCGUCUUGUCUUGUCCCUUAGGAUUCGCAAAUGUCGACAUACAAAAUAAUUUAGAAACACCAAAUAUUUUAAUUGUGGAUACAGUUGUUUCGGACAGUAACUAUAAAAUAUCAAGUCGAUAUUAAUUUUAAAAAGAAAAGCGUGCAAAGAAAGAACGGCGAGUUGUGAAAAUGAAAGCGUGUACACACUCGCAUCUGUUAGGCUUAUUAUUCUCCAGCUAGAUAACAGCCGUUGACAAACGUAACGUUUUUCGUUUUUGUGUUGGACCAUUGUUGAUUAAAAGCAGAAUUUGACGCGAAUUGUUUGAACCGUUAACUCGGCACGAGUUGCUCCAAUUUCUGUGACCCACCAACGACCGGUAAAAUGAUGAACUCGCGCACCAAUGGAAGAUUAGGCAAUAUACUUACACGGUUACACAAUCAUAACUUGCGUGUUUGUGAAUAUUUGGUGAGAGUAAUCAUAGAGUUUUGGCAUCUUUGUGGUGCGUAUUUUUUUCUAUUUUUUUCAUGCAUUAUCAUGAGUUUUAUGCUUUUAUCAUAAUCAAAUACUCCCUCCGUCCCUAUUUAUCUGUCCACUUUGGAAGUAAAAAUUUGUCCCUAUUUAUCUGUCCAUUUAUACUUUCAAAACUAAUUUAAUGAUAGUUUUUCAAAGAUAUCUUCAUAAUUUCAAUUUUCAAGGCUUGACUUAUUUAAAACUUGGUUGAAUUCAUGUUUUCAAGACAUAAAAUAAGGGUAUUCCACCAUUUUUAAGAUAUUAACUAGAGGUAUUUAAUGAAAAAGUUUAUACAAUCAAGUAUUUCUUGGUAUGUGUUUUUUUUCCCAAAAUGGACAGAUAAAAAGGGACGGAGGGAGUAACAUAUGGAUGAUUGAUGAACGAUAAGUUUUAUUUCCCACAUUAUUUGUUUAUAUAUAUUUUCAAUAUAAUUUUAAUGAUUAAUUCUCAUUAUUUUCUCUUAAUUGAUAAUUUACAAAAUUAAUAAAAGAGGUUUUUCAUAAAUACCCAAGUCUAAAAGAACUUUUACAAAAAUAUUAUCACUUUUUUGCAAAGAUUGCAUAAUAAGUUGCAAAUGGUUGCAAUUGACGAAAAAUAAGUGCAUCUGCGAUGCCAAUGCUAAUAUCACAAAAACAAACAUGAAAUCAACUAAAAGCAACCUAUUUAUUUGUAUUCCAUUCAGUAUAUAUCAAACACUCUCUUCCCUGGUCUCUGUACGUAGUCUUGCACGGAGGACAAAGUGAAUUCUUUCUCGCCUCUUAUACUCAUCAUAAGGCCUACAAAUUGCAAAAACACACUCGUUACAUUAUCUGCAGUUGAAAGCUCGACAUCAUUGCCGCAAACCUGACAAAGCUUUAAGAGGUCGUUUAAGAGAUGAAAAUGGAUAGAGCUUUAAAAUCCAUUUAAGAGGCAACAAAUGGAUCUGUCGUUUAAGUGAUGGUGAAGAAGGAAGAUGGAGAUGUGCGACCUGGUGAAGCAGAAUGAGAAAGAUACAAUCGAAAAGAUGAAGAAGAUGAACCCUAAGCUGAGCUGUGACAACAAAGAAACGUACACCUGCAAAUGAUUUAAUCAGAUUAUUACAGCAAUCGUAUUUUUGCUAGAAAACCAAACACACAGUAGUUUUGCCAUUGAGAUGUUAAGAAAGGGCAUUUUUGCCAAAUUCUCUUAAUACAAACUCUUUUUCAUACUUUGUGUGCUCAUUAAUCAAAUUAUGUAUUAAAAUUAGUUGUAAAAUAAUUUAUUCAACACAGUUAAUAUGAAUAAAAGUAAGAUGUGAUAUUAAUGUGCAUGUAUUCGUUCAUAGUAUUAAAGUAUAGGACCUAUUUUAUAAGUAAUCAAGUUUAAAAUUUUUUGCAAAAAUUACUGUCACUUUUUAAAAUAAAUUGUAAAAAUAAUAUAUUUUAAAAACUAUUUGCAAAAAUACGGUGGUUGCAUAUGCAACUAUAUUUGCAACUGUCAGCAAUCAUAUAUGCAACUAGAAUUGUAACUUUGUAAGAAUCUUUUAAAAAUUAUAUUUAUAUGUAUAAUAAAUUGCAAGUGGUUGCAAAUGACGAAAAAUGAGUGCCCCUGCGGAGAUAUCACAAAAGUAACCAUGAAAUUAACUAAAAGCAAAUCAAAAAUGCCUAAACGCAACCAAAGUCCAUCCUCUUCCUCUUCCCACCUAUUCUCCUGCCUCCUAUUCGAUUUAUCUCUCCAAUCAAAAUGGUUAGACAAAUUAUUUGUCGGAAGAAUAAGUGCUUUCUAACAACUUUCUAGAAACGCUAAUGUCUUUAAUAUAAGAUAUCGCUGUUUGGGCUUCGUCGACAUCAGAUCAGAAAAAUGCGUCACGCCGUGCUCCGCCAACGAAUCAAGCAAUUGAUUCCUCUUCGCUCGUAGUAGAUUCGCCUUAAACACGGAGAAUCUAUAGUCAUGUUCUUUCUCAUCACUGUAAGACUUUCUGAACUCGGUCUUAAAGAGCGUAUAGUGAUGAUCGGCGUUGAGGAGAUUAACAGAUUGUUUCUCCUUCGGCACGACUUGUAAAUAGAUUUUAGAGAAAAUAGUAUAUUUGUAAAUAAAAUUCAAAAAUUAAUAUACUUGAUAAAUUACCUGAAGUAUAUACCUUAUUUUUAAAAUUUAUAGUUGAUUUUCUUAUCUUUUCCUAGUACCUUGAUAAACAAAAUUUAUCAUGAACCGAAUUUCAAAGAAUACUUUAAAAUGUAAUAACAUGAAUUUUACAAAUAUUGUCAUGUAACGUCAAAGUUAUCAGUAGACUCACAAAAUAUAAUUUAAGAUGGUCAAAUUGCAAAGUUAAUAAAAUACUAAGCAACAUUUUUUGGGCAUGAUUAAUGGACUAUAUAUUAUUCCUUCGAAAAUUAUGUAAAAUUACUAAAUUAGAUAUAUAUAAUUCAAUAUGAUCAAAUUCAACCAUGACAAGAUCAAAUUUCAAAAUACACGUAUAAAAAUAAUUGAUUUCAUUUCACUUGGGCUAUUCUAUUUCUUUUUUUUUUUUUUUUUGACAGAGGGCUAUUCUAUUUCUAACUAUGUAAUAAUAAUUCAUUCCAACCAACUCGAACCAAUCCAUAAUAAAUAUGAUGGCGUCAUGUUUAGUUUAAGCAAAAUAUGAUUAAAAUUUUUAAAUCAGUUUAAUUGAAUUGGAUUGUUUAAAUAUUUAUAGCCCGUCCAAUUCGAUCUAUGUACACGCUAAUCACGAGAAAUGUAUGAAAAAAAAAAUAGAGAAGUAUCUCAUUUUUUAAGCCAAGUUACAUGAAAAGUGGUUUCUAUUACUAUCUCAUGAUUUUUAGUUAUAAAAAUAAAAAAAAUAUUUCAAUAGACUCUUAACCAAAUUUUUUUAUUUUUAUAACUAAAAGUCAUGAGUCAGUAAUAGAAAUCAUUUUUCAUGUAACUUAGGCUUCAAAAAUAAGGAAUGGAACAAUUGUUACAAAACAUCUGUUGAUAUAAAAGCCGCCAUGCAUAUUAUUACUUCGGAAAAAGUCAACAUACUCUUAGAUCGAAUAAAUCUUACUACAAGAUGCAUAUUCUCCAACUGCAAGUCAAAGAUGAGAUCGUGAGUUUAACAUGACUGAGAUGUCAAAUGUGUGGCCAUCUUGCUGGAUUGGCUGCCAAGGGUCUGACCAUAAUCUAUUAUGUCAUGGGGGAAGUACCAUGUCAGCUGAACAAAAACGGGCUCAAUCAAUUCAUCAUGCUUUUUUAGUUGGUUUGCUUAACUCGAAAUAUAUGACUGCAGCUCCACGGGCAACUCCCUAAUCAGAACCAUACUGCGAUUUUAUACAAUUUUUUUUAGAAUCGCAAAUUAAAUUGUAUUAUAUUAUAGAUUAUAUAUGUUUUCUUAAAAUCACAAAUUAAAUGGCAUGCACGAUUUGGUUGAAUAUUCAAAUCAUAAUCUUAUUGUCCUAAUAUAAAAAAUCACGUAAAUCACAUUACAAAAAUCAGUGUGAUGUGAUAUUUGCGAUAUGUAUAUUUAGGAAUAAUAUUUCUGGAUGAGAUUAUGGACAAAAUUUAAAUAUAUGACAAAUCAAAAUAUUAUUUUACGAUAAAUUUUUAUGAUAUUUAUCAUUUAAGGGGUACAAUGAUUAUCAAAAUGAAUAUAAAUAAAAAUAUAUUAAUAAAAAGUAUUAAGAGUUAUAUUAUAAGACUAUAAUCAUUUUAUAAAAAUUUAAUAUAUUAAUAAUACUAAAUUUAUAAAAUAAUAAUUAAAUAUUAUUUGAACAAGUUUAGUAAAAAGAUGCAUAACAUAAUAUAUUCAUGCAAGGUAUAGAGUCUUGCUAACUUCUAGAUACGCUCAAAACAGUCUUAAAGGCAAGACUUGAUCAUACAUGAUUUCAGACCCAUCCACACCCUAUAUAACCCCGUCUAUGAUUCAUCACAGUCUCAAAAUCUUUUUCAUUUUGUUUAAUGGCAUUAGUGCGCUUAUUUAAUUUAUGUCUUACCGUAAUGACCUAAACUAUAUUGAUUGUCUAUGAUUUAAAAAUAAUAUUUUGUGUUUAUUUAAACAUUAAAAUUUCUCUCUCAGGAGAGUCAACAGCGUCAUCUCCUCCGAACCCUACUCGUUUCCGUCUUCUUAUCCACCUCUUCCGCCCACUUCCAUUUCCAUCUUUUCUUCCCAUCUCGAUUCUCAAUCUUAAAUAUAAAUUUUUUAAAUAUUCUUAAUCACCGCUUUUCUAUCCACACAACACCUUUUUUCUAAUCACUGCUUCAAUAAAAUCGAGUUUUGUUCCUUAAAAUUCAAAAAACACAUUUCAAUUUUUUCAAUCUCCUUCUAUUUGAGUUAUUGUUUGUGAGUUUGAGUGUCUCUUUUUGUACGACGUGUUGGGCUAUACCAUAUAUUGCAUUUAGCAACCCCUGAAAAUAGUUGGUAUAUUAUAAAAAAUCAUUGCAAUAGCUUCUAUUGCAAUGAUUUUCAUAAAACUGACCAUUAAUCAUGUUUAAUGGAUUUAAUAAACCCUUAAUUCUGAUUACAAGUUACCUAUUUGAUAUUUAUGUUCUCAAAAAACAAAAACAAAGAGUACCACUGCUGGAUGAACCCUUGUAAAAAGUCUGGGUUAGCAUAUUGGGUGAGAGCAUUCUACUGCUACUUUGAUUCUGGACAAAGUUAAGUAAUUAGUCCAACUUCCUCGAAUUACAAUAAUCCAUUAGAUAAUGAACUAGUGGUUUGUCCCAUGUCAAUCCACAAUACAGGGAAGAUGAUUAAAAUCGUUUUCAACCCAAAAAAAUGUCAACUCUGUUCGGUUUGGCUGUAUUCUUAACUAAUUUCAAUAAACAUGUACGUAGUAGAACAUUUUCCAAGAUGGCAUUGAUCAGAGACAUCACUAUACUAAACCUAUAGGCUAUAAGAACUGUGCAUAAGUAUAGUGUCCAUUUCAUUUGAUGGGUUAACAAGAUCUUUGCCACAACAAUAUUAAAUCCCUUUAUAGUACUGGAUCAUUUUCGAACAUGAAAGUAAUUAGUAUCAACUAAAUAUCUCCAUUUUAAAUGUGCAAGACAUACUUGUUUUUAAGCAAUCAAUUGUCUUCGCUAUCCGUGUUACUACUAAAGAUAAUUUAGUAUUUAGCUCAACAUAACUCAAUUUAUGUUGUUUCAGUAUCCCUAGUAGGUUUAUGAUUUCACAUGAUUUUGAUGAUGAUGUGUGGUUAAUCAACAACUUAUAAUUCAUUAGUUACCAACUCAAUGAAUUUGUUGAGGCAUUUCAGAGGUUCAGAUCAUACAACGUCUGUCCAUUACUUGACACUAUAUGUAUAUGUAUUACUCUAAACAGUGAACUUUCAAGUUAAAGGUCUUUAACGAAAUCAUGACGGAUAAAAUCAGGGAGACUAAUCUCAUGAUCAAAACCCGCUCCACAGUAAAGCCUCAAACCCCCAUUUUGAUUCAACCACAUCUAAUUAAAACAAUCAAGACCAUACUUAAGAGUAACAAUAUAGAGGCGAGAUUAAGAAGGUUAAGAGUGUUAUUAUAGAAAUGAGAAUUAACAAGUUAAGUGUGAGCAAAUCUUGAUUGUACAUUUUGUUCACUAUCCUUGAUAGGUUCAUGGUUUCAUCUAGUUUUGACGACGAUGUGUGGAGCCGUUGGAACAGAUUUAGAAUACCUCUUUAAUUUUUGUAUAAUUAUAUUAUAUUUGAGGCUAAUAGAUUUACUGUCCUGGUAUUGUUCAAAUUUGUAGUAAAAAUCAAUUAGGUUUUCCAAAAAAUUGACAUUUCGAUUUUGGUUUUUGUGAUACAAGUUGGAUUUACAAAGCUUAUUCCACCAUCUUCACCUGGCCAAAGAGAAUCAGCCACCUUACUAUUAUGGUUGCUGCUAAUUAAUCCGAUCAUGCUACAGAUUUAGUCGUGCUCAAUUAAACUAGAUGUUCGGUUCCUUUACAUGGAUUGAACAAGUUCGUCAAAAUGGACAUGAGCUUAUUCAGAACAUGCUGACUUACCGAACUGUGGAUGAGAACACAGUCUAUUACUAUGACACACCGUAUGACUUGUAUAUCUUUAUUUGGAAUACAAUGCGGCAUGCAAAUAACGAUGACUUAGUCAUAUAAUAGUAUACUUUAACAUUUAGUACUCAUUCUCAACUUUUGGUCCAUGGAAGCAAUCCACCAACAGUUCCUAAUACUAUUCCCAGAUUAUGUCCAACAAAUGUUUCCAUAUAUGCACACUCUUGUAAUUCUUUACCGUUGUACAACAUAAAUAAUUCAUGUCAACCUUGAUUAGAAUGGUAGAUACCAAAAUGAUAAAAUAGAAAGCAAAAAUUUAAUAUUCAAAUACCAAAAUAAUAAAAUAGAAAUCAAAAAUUUAAUAUUCAAAUUAUGUAAUUUUUUACCGUUGCACGACAUUAUGUAAUUAUGUAAAAUUAAGGAUCAAAAUUUAGGUGGGGUCGACUGACCCCUCUUGCCCCUGUCAGGAUCCGUGGUUAUGGCCUACGCAGACGUGAUAGCUGAGAAUACCAUUCUCAUGAACGUGGAAAAUGACCCUAAAUGUCACAGACUGGCUCACCACUCCACGAUUAACAGACCAUAAUGCAUUUAUGCAUCCUUUUGGCUGGGGAAUUUUAAAUUGUCACACCUGAUUUUACAUUUUGUUCACCAAUGAUAUUACCUUUAUAAGCAAUAGAUUGUUUUUGUUCACCAAUGAUAUUACCUUUAUAAGCAAUAGAUUGUGUCUGUUGGAUGACAUGAAUGAUAUCAUUAAAAUCCACACUACAUUCCACAAUGUUGUCCGAUUGUUCCUGUUCAAGAACAGUAGUUUUAAAAAAACAAUUAUAAACUUGUAAAUACAUAAAUUAAAUUAAUGUGUUCAUAAGAUAAACAUAAAAUAUCUAAAUACUCACUGAUUUAGCCGGAAUGGAAGGAGGAGGAGCCACAGAGUCGCCACAGAUACAAUAACCUUUUUCCUCUUUCGAACCUGCAAUCAAGAUCAAUAAUCUCAAAUUGUAUUGUCUGUACAUACAAUUAGAUAUAUAUUUGUAUAUCAACUUAAAAGAUUACCAUAAGGAGCCGUUUGGAAACAUGCUUAUCAUUUCAAAUGACAGGAUUUGAAUUGUCAUUUCAAAUUCUCAGAUUUAUACUGAUAUUUGAAUGUGUGGAUUUCAUUUCAAAUGAAAUCCAAACGCAAAUUCCCAAACAGGUUAUUUGAUCGAUUCCAAGAUCGCAAAUGAUAUCCAGUUUCUCAAACAGGCCAUAUGUCUAUUCUUAAACCCUAGCCGCCUCCUAAAGAGUUUGGGGAGAUGUUUAAAAUGCCCCCAAUAACACUCAGAGACCGAGUAUAAUCUAUCGUUUGGGGAAGAGCCUUUUUACUUAUUUCUUAUUAAUUUAUACUCAUAACGUGAAAUCAAGUCACGUUUCCUAUUUUUUUUAUAAUUUUUUUAUCGUUCACGAGAGAGACCUUUUUAUCCUAACCCUAAUAUCAAAAUUAGUUAUGAAUCUAUUUUGGGCAUCGUAAAUUGAUCGGUUUUGUGGGAUUAUUUGUUAUAAUCGAUUUUUUUCCAGAAUUCUCUCAAUAAUCCAUAUAAUUUUUUAAUAUUUUUUUAAAAAAUUGAAACACUCUGUAUUAGCAUUAUGAUACUUUAUCUCACUUUCGUCGGACUCCGCACAAAUUGAAAAUCAAUCAUAAUUUAUAAUUAUAACUAAUUCAUUAAUUGUGAAUCAAAUACACCUCUUGCAUCAAUUUUAUGAUAUCUUAAAUUAAUUCUAUACCAAAUUUUAAGAUAAAAUCAAAAUCAACUACAAUCUUAUGAGAUUUAUGACUUAUUAUAAAAUAAUAUAUAUAAAAUUAAUAUAAAAUUAAUUUUUCAACUGGUAUUAUCUUCAUUUUAAGUUACUUGUCUUCUUCUUCUUCUUUUUUUAUGUCAAAUUAAUCAAAUAUUAACUGAAAUUUAAAUAUAUUAUAUUAUAUUACUAAAAAUUAUAAACAAUUUACGAAUACAAAAUUUUCAGAUUACAGUAAAGUAUCCUGAUAAUUUGAAAAGAAUGUGUGUCCGGUAUAGGUAAAAGUAAAACUGUAAAAUCGAAGAUUUGGGCCAAUUUCCAAAAUCAUUUUGUCCGAAGAGAAGUGUAAGAGGAAAUCACAGCCGUUGGAUUUGGAGAAGGGACACUACUUAAGCAGACAGCGCUCAUUACGAGGAAUAUAUGUAAGUCUAUAACCCCGAGUACGCAUAUACUACGUACUUACAUUCCUGUCUUUACGGGCUUAAAAUGGCGAACAAAACGGCACCAGUAGCGGACCCGGAGGAGCUGCCCAAGACUAUCGUGCGCCGCUUGGUGAAGGAUACGCUUUCUCAGUGCUCUAAAGACGGCGACAUUUCGGUACUCAAAGACUCUCUCCUGGCUUUCUCUGUUUGUGUUCGGAUCUUCAUUCAGUACCUCUCUGCAACGUAUGUAUCUAUUCUCAUUUCUCAUUUCUAUUUUGUGUGUGCAAAAGUAUGUGUAUGGAUGGAUGAAUUGAUUGCUGAAUUGAAUUUGAUGGUGGAUUUUGGGAAUUAUCAAUGGAUAUGAUGUUUUCGAAAAUGGGAUGUUUUUUUGAAUGAUAUGUAUGAAGGUUGAUUGAUUAAGUGAAAUUUGUGUGCUUAAUUUUGGAAAAUUUAUGAUUCUUUGAGAGAGUGUGUGCAAAAUUUGAAUGGAUGGAAUUGUUUAUUAUUAUUGUUUUUUUUUGGAUUGAGGUUGAAUAGAGAUUUGGUUGAAUUUGCAGUGCUAAUGAUGUGUGCAAGGAGGCAAACAGGAAUAUAAUUACUGCUAAUGAUGUUUUCAAGGCUCUUGAAGAGAUAGAGUUUCCUGAAUUGAUUGAGCCGCUAAAAGCUUCUCUUGAAGGUUUGUAGAAUGAUAAAAUUACCAAAAUGCAUGUUUGUUUAUGUUUGUUAUGAAUGUAGUUUCUUGUUGUGUGGCCUGUGGGUGGGUGGGAUUGGGAUGUUUUUGGUUAUAUGAGUGAUAUGGUAUGAUGCUUAGAAUUUGGAACUCAAGAUUUGGUCAGUGUAGUUUGUGAGAUUCUGCUCGUAACAAUGUGCUGUUAAACUUCUUGAUACAGCCUAACAUAGGUUUGACAGAUAGAAUAGACAUAUUGAAUGUUAGGUUUUCCAAAUUCUGAGGUUAGGUUUAGAAUUAAUACAAUACAUCUAAAAUUCCGUAUACAUGUGUCACCUUCACAGGCUGCUUAUAGAAAGACCAAGACGUCAAUUUAGCUAUAUGGUAUAAUCAAAUUGGUAAAGAUCUUUCUGAUGAUUAGUGUUUUUAUAGUUUUUGGUUUCAAGUGUGUUUUUGAGCAUAAUUGAACAAUUGGUCGUUUGAUUCUGUAGAAUGUGUCGUAGAAAUCAAUUUUCUAAUGGAUCCGCUUCUGUUUAUGUCAACCAAGUGACGAGCUCUUUUAAUGGAAUCAUUUUUACCCUUGCUAUCCUAGAUUAUUUGGCAUUUAACCUCAUGUACUCAUUUAUUGAAAUUACCUUCCAAAUGCACCAGUACAAUUUCACAAUCUUGUUGUAUUCGGCCUCGUUAAAGUUUCAAAAAUUAUACCCUUUGCAACCUCGUUCUCCAGAAUCCCCAAAUUUUAAGCAGCUGGAUAUUAACAAUGUCAUUGGAAUGGUACGGUCUUUCUUCAGGCCAACAAGCCUAGAUUCAAACUUCCAACAAUCAUCCCAUAAUUCCACAUCACAUAUUAAUGACAAUCUAUAUGUGAUUCUGUAUAAGAAUCAAGUAAUUGAUGAUAAGGUAACCCCAGCGUUGAUGAUUUUUAGUGUGAAUGACAUCCAACUACGUAUUGUUCCUACUUCCUAUAAUCGCACGUUGUUUCGCCAAAAUCGUGAUUGAUCGAUCUUCAAGAAGCCAGAUUACUUGACGGUUUUUCACGUUGCACUGAUCUCUUCCUCAGUUUUUGACCAGUUAUACGAUGUUGCUACCUUUGAUUCUUCACGUCGUUAUAAUAGAUUGCCCUCAGUCCUUUUUCUUUUCAUUUUACUAUAUGUACUUGAAAUUCUUUCCUUGUGCUGCUUGAAAAACUAUCUCUAGCUUACUUAAUUUCACAACGAUUUACAAGGUCUACUAAACCUUUGCUGAAAGUAUUACGAUGGACCUUUUAAAAUUUUUAAUGCUAUGAUCACAUUUUGCAUUAUGUUUUAAACAUACCAGCCUUGCAUUUCUAGUAAUCAACUAAUGAGGUUGAAAUAAAAUGUUCUGAAUUGUAAAAGCCCUUCCACAGCAAUUUUAUCUCUCUCUCCUACCAUAGUAAUCUAAUCUCUCUCUUACCACAGUAAUCCAUUAUCUCUGCUUCAUCUGUUAAGUUCCAUUUAACAAAUUUCCUUGCUAGUAUCUCUUUAUAUAUCGUUUUAUUAUGAUUCCAUGAGAAAGAUACAUCAUUAUUUAAUCAUGUAAAACUUCCGAUAUGGUAUUGCUGAUUUAGUACUGAGAAUAAUUGGCUAAUUGCUAAUGUGGCAUUUGGUAGAUGAAAGGGGUAGAGUAGAGUGGGGUUUGUUUUAGUACUGGUUUUAGCUUCAACAUUUCUAAUGGAAACAAACUAAAUGCACGAUCGGUCAAUUACCUAUUAUUUUAAACCUAGUUUAUCAAAUUUUAUUCAUCACCAUUGGAGUGUACUAUACGCUAAUAAAUUAUCUAUAAACACAAAAGCAAAUCUGAACAAAUGUUAAUAAUUUUAAGCAAAAUAUAUCACUGAAAAGAAGUAAACAGGUCUUUGCCACUCUUUCCAAUAUGUAAGGACUCGGGUAAUGUGUGUGACACGUGGACAAGAAGUUGGCAUGAUGUUAUCCUGAGUUCCGAUAACAAGACUUCAACUGAAAAGAAUAAACUGACAAACUUUAAUUUUGUUUGUAGAAUUAGAGUUAUUUUAUUGCUAUAUGUUAUAUAAGGUUGUUGAUUGCUAAUCGUAUUCCCUUUUUCUGUGCAGAGUUUAAGAAGAAAAACUCUGUGAAAAGGUCAGGACCCUCCAUCGGGAAGGAUCGUGGGAAGAAAAGCAAAGUAGAGGAUGACUAGGAAGAAUAUCAUGUCAUGAAUACAUGAUGUUGCCUGUAUAUGGGUGAUCUGGUACUCGAGAACCCCCCUCCCCCCUCCCCUUAUGGAUUGGGAUAUUUGCAGUGAGGAGUCCUUUGGAUCCAAACUAUACAUCUUUUAGGCAACUUCUGCAUUUCUAGGAAUUUAUAUAAACUUUUUAAGCGGGUUUGUGUAGAGGUGUUGCAUUGAAAUUAUGGGUGUUUUAAUUUUGAUGUUGUCUGCUUUAAAGUUUAUACCUGCUUAUGGGCGGUAUCCUACAAAGUCCGGUUGUUUAGUCAAGUGGAUAUCCCUCCGGCAGGGGAGAUUUCGAGUUUGGAUAGAUUUGUUUCCAAGUAUUCAAAUCGACACAGCCGAUAUUUUCAGGAGAACAGAAACUUGCUUAAUGCAUAACCAGGAAGAUUUGAUGAGCAAGAAGUAAUUGUAUAGUAUCGAUCAUCAAGUCACCGUCAUAGCAGUUGAUUUUUAACUAAAUCUUCUCUCAACUUUAACUGGCUUCGAUCUUCAAAGCUUAAAAAAAACAAACAAAAAGACUUGUGUUCAUAUGUAAUACUCUUUUUCAGUAUGAAGCCAGUGGGCUACAUAAAUGGUUGUGAUAUGUAUACAUCCUGUAUGCUGUAUAAUAUAGAGAAAUAAAGUAACACAACAUUUUCUAUAAAAUAAAUAGGUGUGCAGAAAUAGGUAUAAAUUUAAGGAAAAGAAAAUGCAUUUUUAAAAUUUCCGUCAAAAUAAAUAAUUUUUUUAAUAAUAAAAUAAGCUGUGCUUGGGCAAUUGUUGAAAAAAUAUUUAGAAAAAAUAUUAUUAAGCUAAGCUAUAAAUAGUAGCAAAAUCCUAAUUUGCCGGGUAGAUUGCAUUUUGUUUGACCAAACCCACCACACAAUUACUUGAAGUGCUGUCCUAAUCUCUCUCGCUUGAUUUCUCUCCCCAACUGCAUCAGCCAUCAGGUGUGUGUAUAGUGUAUGUAUACUGUAUACAUAUACAUGUUUAAUGUUAAUUUGUCUCAAGUAAUUUCUCAUGGUUGCAACCACACCCCUUAAUUUAAAGUGUGUGCUUUUUUGAUUCUUAUGUAAUGUAUGAUUAUUGAGAAUAUAUAGAGUGACAUUCAGUGUUGAUUGAUUGAUUUCACCUUUUAUGUUAAGAAUUUUUGGAACCCAGUACUCGAAACUAUGUUGUUAAUGGACUAGAAACCUGUAAGAUAAUCGAAUGCAUCAAUCUAAUCUGCAAAGGGUUUGUUUCUUUAUGUAAUAACUGAUAUCAUCUAUAAAUUGAGGAAAUGAGUCAUUUGACACUGCACAACUCGAUUAACCUGGAUAUAACGAGGGUUGAAGGGUUUAUUGAAAUAUAUAAUCCUUCAAGCUUAUAUAUUCAUAUUUAUCAAAUUUUAGUAAUAACAGAAAGUGUAUUGUUUACCAACACAGUAGCGAACUGAGAUUAGAGCAUCUCCAGCAGCAUCUUAGCCCAUUCCUUAAAUAUAAUAUAAAAUAUUGGAUCCUAGUGACUUAAGAUAAUAAUAGCUAUUCUCACCUCCAACAAUAUUCUUUAUAUUCAUUCCUUAUAUACUAUUUUAUUAUUAAAAGUUGCCAUUAUUGCAAUAGGUGAAGAGAGAGAACAUGUUUGUAUUCAAAAUUUAUUAUAAAAUAAGAGUUAGGAGAGGAGAGAGGUUACCUAAAGAUAAGGCAUGGCUAGUGGAUCUUAGUGAUUUAGGGAAUCACUAGGAUACUAUUGGAGUGGAUUAUUUUCUCAUAUUCCUCAUAUUUUGGUUUAAGACUCCAAAUAAGGAAGCUGCUGGAGUUGCUCUUAUGACUUCUACUAAGAUGUAAUGGUUUGAUGAUAGGUGAUCAAUAUGGAAAAAGGCUCUUUCUGAAAUUAUUACUUCUACUAAGAUGUAAUGGUUUGUUGAUUACCUGAUCAAUUUGGAUUAUGGAAAAAGGCUCUUUCUGAAAUUAUUACUUUAAGAUGUAAUGGUUUGUUGAUUGCCUGAUCAAUUUGGAUUAUGGAAAAAGGCUCUUUUGAUUAAUUACAUUUCUAAUAAUAUACCUGUGUUUACUAGACAUACAAAAUACCCUUUGUCGCAAUGGUUUAAUCACUAAGUGAUGAGUUAGUGUGGGCAUUAUAUGUCUUCGUGUUUUCUUUCUGCUUUCCCAUGUUCAUUGAUAGCACGCUUUAGAAAAUGUGUCCACUGUCCAGACUCUGUUGAGCAGUGACUUAGCCAAAAAAUACUGUGAUCUGUCCAGACGCUGUUGCAGUGACGUUGCUAGAAAUUCUGACUGUGGCUGACGCCUCCAGAAUCUAUUGGACAGUGACCUAGCGAGAAUUAUUCUAACCAUGGCUGAUGCGUCCAGACUCUUUCUCCCUUUACCACUGCUAUUUUAGCAUGUGGAGCACAGAUGAAUUGCUGUGAUCAUGAGGCAGAAAUAGUUAAAGCGCUAUCUUCUGUACUUCAGAUAAACUAUAGUUAGGUUGCUUCUUAUAUAUUUUUCGAUUCCCCCUACUAGUUUUCUGCUUUAGUAGUAGUAAUGUUUAGCCAUGUAUUUUGUUUGAGCUAGUUAUCUCAUUUGUCUCCAUUAAAUCUUUUUGUUUAUAGCUUUUGAAAUAACUAGGUUCCUCAAAUAACUAGCUGUAAUAAGUUCUUUGGUCACUGUUUCAGUCACAUGCUAUUUAUUCCUUUGAGUAGAAGUGUAGAAUCCACCACCUUUCUAAUUCCACCUCACAUCUGAUGAGAAUUAGAGGCAGAGUCAGAAAUUUAAUCUGAAGUGAUGCAAGAUGCACUUUCUAUAACCAAAUAAUAAAUUAUCAUAUGCAUAGAUGCAUGCUUGUCUUUUUACCGGUUAAAACUUUCAAUAACAGUUAUUUUAACUGAAUAUCGCAAGCAACUUAAAUAGUAAGUUCAGUAAGUGUUCAAGUCAACAUACAACUAUAGAGUAGGAAAAGAAGUCAGCAAAUAGGCAAAAAAUAUAACAAAUCAGAUUGACGAAGAUAUACAGAGACUCAGAUCUGUACUUUAAUUUUUUUAUACAAGUCAGUGCUCUCAUUCUGGCCAGCAGAAAUAUUAAUCUGGAGAAAUUUGUGGUGAUAUUUGAUGCUAUUAAUUGAGAUGGAAAUGAUUUAUGCUUGUGUUAUUUGCAGGAAAGCAACCAUGACACUGAGAAUUGCUGCUAGAUAUGUUUCUCGUAGGCUUUCUAGUAGUGGAAAAGUACUUAGUGAAGAGGAAAAGGCUGCUGAAAAUAUCUUCAUCAAGGUAAUUUUAUACUUUCCUGUUAUGAAAUAUGUAUGCUUCUUUGUCAUUAAGUCAAGAUAUUCUUAAUUUUGUUGUUAUAUAUUGUACUUAUACUUGAACUUUGUCAUUAAGUCACUAUCUUAUAUGGUUGAUCUCUUUACUUUAUAUUCAUGAUAGUGAUAGGUGAACUGUGAUAGAAUUUAUCACAAAAUAUCCUAUAAGGAUGUUUCGUCUAAAAUCUUGGAUUAGUUUAAUGGCAGCAACUCCCAGUUCAAUUCAACAUUACAGAAACAGAUAAUUUAUAGAUAUUUCUUCGGUGGAUUUUUUCCCACUUUUUUUUGCGCCAAGGAAAUUCCUCCGUGGUAUCAUUGUGUUAAUGUAAAAAGGUCUUAGAUUCUGAAUGAUGGUUAGUGGAUGGCAUCAUGAAAAGGCCUAGAGAGGGAGACAUUUGACCAUAUACUUUGGAACUUGGAUACAAGGGAGAUAUAUCCACCAACUUGAUUUGUGUACUUUUAAAAUAUGUUGGAGUGACACACAAGUGCACCAAGUGCAUGGUUCGAUUGAAAAGGAUUAUUGAUAAUGAUUCUUCUUGCCAGUGUUUGCCUUUUGGUGGUUUAUUUAGUUUCCCGUCGCAGCGAAUGAAAUGCCCGUUGUAGCAAUAAUCUUGCAUUUCAGCUCCAUAUUCAAAAUUUUCAGUCCAGACUCCAGUGUUUGAAAACAUUGAUAUAGUAGAUGAUAUAGAAUUCACCUAAACAUGACUGUGUUCUGAGCUGAAUUGAUUUCCUUUGUUUAUGUUUUUGAUUCGUUAAAGGAUAUAUUUUGUGUAAAUUCCUGCUUUUCCUAAAUGCAGAAAUCUGAAAAGCAGAAGUUAGAGAAGCUCGCACACAAGGUAUGUUCAUGCCACAUUAUCUCCUUUUAAGGUGUAACUAUGUUUUUCGUGCCUGUGCAUGCAUAUUUUUUGAGGAAGCAUGCUGUAGUAUCCAGGAUUGUAAACUAAAUAUGUGGUUGAGGCACACGAGGGAGAAUAUUCAUCUCAGUAUGCUCCUUGCUUGUAUUUUUGAACUGAUGGCGAAAAGAUAAGCCAACAUUGAAGAACUUGGUGAAAUAUGAACCAUUAACUCAUAAAACAUAUGGCUAAAUUAACCAAAUUGUUGUCUUCAAAGAGCAGUAUACAUAUUCUCAUCAAAAUAGCACCCAAAAAACAAUUAUUGCAUAUCCAGGUACAUUAGUUAUUUAUGUGUCAGUUGAGGGUUGUACGGAACAUGAAGCAGUCGAGCAGGUAAUAAACAGACUUUUUAACUUAAACCCGUCUUGUGGCGAGGGUAAUAAACAGACUUUUUAACUUAAACCCGUCUUGUGGCGAGUAAUAGCUUUAGAAUCCCAAACCUAAUGAGAACCUAGUUGGUGCCGUAAGAUCUGCAUCUCGGCACGAUACAGAUGACUUGAUCACACUGUUGUUAUUUUAUGACCAAAAUAGUUGCUGUAUUAUAACCAUAAUUUUGUUAUUUAAGUACCAUUUUACCAAUAUCAAAAAAGUCAGUUCUUCAAGUUGCUGUAUAUUUCCAUUUGAUGUCUGGUAAAGAAUUUAGUCUGGAUAAGAUACAAAGAACUAACAAAUGCUUGUCUUCAGAAUGCUAAACCAGAGGAAAAACCAUCAGGAAUUCCAGGAUCUGUAUCUGGUGCACAACCCAGUAAUCAGAGCUCAACAUCAACCAGUGGGUCCCGUAACUAUGGUGUUAUAGCUGGAGUUGAAAUACCACCCUAGUGCACCAAAAACAGUGACAACUCCAGCUAUAACACCAUAGUUACGGGACCCACUGGUUGAUGUUGAGCUCUGAUUACUGGGUUGUGCACCAGAUACAGNAUGCACCUGAACUUACUUCCAAGCUCUAGUUUUUCUCAGUUGGUGACAAUAAUGCAAGUGAAACCAUGCGUGAUUCAUAUCUGUAUGAUCCAUCAUGUUGAUCUCAGAAAUUGUUCACCCCUCACAACUUCCCUUUACUUUGUCUCAGUUUUUAUCUAAAAGAACAUAUACUUCCCUGAUUCUGGUGAACAAGAUUGCACUUUACUGAAGGUUAAUCUUAUAACAUUACCGAGCUUUCAUAAUAAAGAUUUUGAGUAAUUUUGUUCAUGA